UUCAUUUUCUAGUUCCCAUUUCAGGGUCUGUUCCUGGUCUUUAAAUGUUUCAUUUCAGGAUCUCCACAGUUUGUCGUCACACUUAAAUGUAAAUCCUUUAGACCAGAUGGAUAGGGAGCUAACCUGUUGGUUUCUUUAGCAAUAUGAAUAAUCCUACAGUUUAAAACGUUCUUUUAGGAAAUGUCAGUUGCUGCAUCACUGUCAGCCUAGCUCACCGGUUCAAGAGACCACAUGCUACUUAGGUAAUGCAUAAAUAAGCAAACUGCAUUCUCAUUUACGUGAGAUCUCUUUAGUCGAACCUUUCCCCUAGACGAUUGUACUUGAUCCUAGUACUUGAAAGUUGUAGUCAGUUUUGUCCGGUUUGAAUUCCUGUCAUAGCAAAUGUCAAAUAUUAUUUUGCUCUUAUUUUAAGGUUGUAUAUCCCAGUUUUCAGGUAGAUUUUCCUCUAUGUUUCAUUGAUUGCCACUUCAGUCCUUAGAAAAAGCAAAACAGUAUUUGUAGCACAAAUGCUGGGCAAGGCUUGGUGCUAGCAUCAUAGAGCAUAGUGACUAAUCUUAGUCACUGCCACAUGGCAUCAAAGGCGUAGAAGGAAAAUACUAGUUCAGUAGAGAGUACCCAUGUUUGUCUGCGUGCAUUACCCUCUGUGUCACAUUUGUUUCGUUAGUUUUGCAACUUUUUCAUGUAGACACAGGCCCGCAGCUCUCCAAAAUUGUAUUACAGUACUUCAAAGGCACGUGUAUAUCCAUUUCUCAGAAUAAUUUGCAAGUCUUUGCCCAUGUUGAUAUUCUGGUGAGGAGCUACAGAUCUGGCAAAGUUGGGACCAUUUUGCGUAGCAUGUGAGAAACCCUGGGCUUGGUGGUACAUAGCCAUAAUCCACUGAGAAGGUAGAAGCAGGAGGAUCAGAAGUUCCAGGCCAUAAUUUACUACCAGGAUACCUGCAAACCAAGUUUCCAAACAGAAAACUUUAAAAGCAUUUACCUCUCAAAGUGAACUGACAGUGGCUGACAUUCCUGAUGAGCAAUGUCCAGAAGUGAAUCACAUGUUCCUUUCCCAAAUUCAGUGGCUAAAAAGGGAAGUAGCAGGGGACAAAAUACAGACCUUCAAGACUUAAUGCCUUGCACCUCCCUAAGCACUUCUGGUGCUCUCUGGUCGUAUAGGACAAUUGAGCCUCCUCAAGCUUGCUUUCUCAGGGGAUUAAAAUAUUUAGUCUUGUGUCUACACAAAGGUGUGGGGAUACUAUGUCUUAUUACACUGGGCUUCCUAGAGUCGAACAUAAUUACCGGGCACUGGAGAUAAGCAACCGGGAGUAUCCUAAUAAAGCAGUCAUCUUUGCUGCUGAAGAAUUCACAUUCGGGUCAAUACUGUUUACUAUGUAUGAAUUGCUCUUGUAAAAACAUUUUGUUGACAGAGAGUUUUUGAAUUUAACAAUAGUUUAUCAUAUAUGCAUAUGACUGUGUAGUCACAUAUGUAUAUGUGUGUCUCUAUAUGUGCACACAUAAAAUAUAUGCACUACAACAGAUUUAUAACCCCCCUUUCUUAAAUCAAAAUGGAAAAAGAAAUCCAUGAAACAUUUUCAUAAUAUAAACUCUGGUAACGGAAGUGAGUCGAGUCUAUUUAUAGACAUAAUGUAUCCCAUUACAGUGGCUGUUCCUAUAUUUCACGGCAGAAAUGUUAAUGUAGUUGAUUACAGGGCGCUGACCUGGACCCUGCUGAGGUUGUUACUUACUCUAUAGUUUACGUGCUUUAAUAUGUUUCUAAAAAUGGGCAAAGUUCAGAAUUCCAAAUCGCAUCUAACCCCAUUGGUUCUGGAUAUAGCCUUCCUGAUUAGCUUAAUCAUAUGUACAAAUGCAAAAGCUGAUGCCUAGAUAAAUUAAUAAACCAAAUUAUGGAUACAGCACAAGUAAAUGUACUACAUGAGAUUAAAUCACGGUGGCAGUUCCCAAGAUAAUAAUUUCAACCAUCAGACCAUAUUAUAUUUCAGUAACUGUGUACCCAAGGUUUAUAAUUUGCACUUGACUUUUUAGUAUAGGAUACAAAAUCAGUACAUUCAUCCUCUAUAUUCAAAUUUUCUUUAACUAGCUCUAAGGCAAGCAAUUCCCAUCCCAUAUGAAAUUCUGAAGUUACAUGCGUACAUGCAUAUGGAGUUAAUGGAUGGAUGAUUCUUCCCUGCUUCUCGUAGUUACCUUGUUAUGAAGGUGUAUCAAUUAAGACGUGCCCUGCAUAAUAUAAAUAACUGAAUAUGUUGCGCCCAGAAGAGCAUUCUAUUUUUAUCUGAAUAGACUAGAAGAGGCAAUUAAACCGUUUUUUAAAAUGUAGUAUCUGAUAACUGACUUCCUGUCCAUUUUUAAAAUGAAGUGAAAGUGACAGAGUCAAAGAGCCAGGUAUUCAGGGUUUCUGUGUGACUUGCAAAUCCCUGAGGUGUCUUGCUUGUUUGAAUGAUAGAAAUGCCAAUGAACCCCAGGCCUUUGAAGUAAGUAGGGUGGUCCUGAGUCUUAGUAACAGAUACCGCAUAGACUAAAGAAGGUAGAAGAACUAAUGCAUACGUUCUGCCUGCUCUUAACUAUAGACAGUUCCCAAAAUAAUUGUUAAGUAACAAUUACGUUACUUUUUAAAAGAAUUUUGCUUCAAAUAUUUUCAAUCACACAUAUUCCCCUUUAAAAUCAAGCUGCUCCUAAAGUACGACAGCCUUAAUUUGGUGCAUUGUGAGCUUUUGUAAAGCUGAAAUUCUCUUUCAGGUUACUGUUUCAGAUUAUGAGUCAGGUUGAGUGCAGACGUGAUCCACAUUGGGGCGCUCACUGGUGCCUUAUGAUUUUUUUUUAUCUUUAUGCACAGUCUUCCACAUCUGACUCUUUAAACCACUUCACUGCAGAGUUUCUCCCCAGGAACCAGCUGAGAAGCAUUAGUUACCCAUGAGCCUAUCUGCUCUUUAAAAGGCCCUCCUGCAAGUCACUAUGUUGGGGGCCUCAACCUACUGGGUUGAGUUCAAGCUCAAGGGCAGUGCCAGCUUUUGAGCAAUUGGAUCUUCAGGAUUGCCCCUACAGCUUUACGUUACACAGGUUCUGUUUUUACACAUUGGUGGCAGCUGGAUGUGCAGAAAGAACUUAACUUAGACUCUCUAGAGCUUUGAACAUUGACAUUGUCAUUUCCUGGGUGUUAGUCCUAGGGAAAUUAUUUAAUACUUUGAAAGAUUGUACAAAUAAGUAUAUUUGAAUGUGAAUGAGUUGCCAGCUGCAUAAUGCUUGUCAUAUAAUAAUUGUACUUAAAAUGUGUUCUAGAAUGUAUGUGUGUGUGUGUGUGUGUGUGUGUGUGUGUGUGUGUAUGUGUGUGUGUUGUGCAUGGUUGUAAUAGAUACAGUAAAUAUAUCUGACAAAUAUAAACAAGCCACACAACAACAACAAAAACACUGAUAACUGUCUCCCUCAGUGAGUGUAAGACUAUGGAUUUGAAAAAGAUCCACCUCUUUAUGCAGGUUUAUUAUGAUCUGUGUAGGGUUGAUUGAGUAAGGGCUCCAGGUUCUCAGUCUGGUGUGACAGCCUAGAACCUGAAGGAGAUUGCUGCAGUUAGUCAGAGGGUAUCAGGCUCCUUGACCUUGUGAUAUCACAUUGUCACAUGCAAAGUCCUCACUCAAGACCUCUUUGCUGAAUUGCAAACAUACAAUAAUAUAUCUAAGUGUUCAAUUUUGUGUUUUACUGCGUUCAUAGCUAUCUAUCUAUUGGCGUGUGACUUAAAGAUGACUAAUACAAAGUUAUGGGCAUAAAGAUGACAGACCAUUUCCUUAGUUAGAAAAAAGACAAGUCUUUGUAUUUCCUCUUAACACAGAAAGAAGCAGAAGCCAUUUUUACAGAUCUUGUCUCUAUCCAUUUUCUAUUAUAUAUGGUUGCUCCUCCUCCAUUAUUUCCUGUUCUUUGCCUGUGCUAUUAUUUCAUCCUUUCUAUCAUCUAACUUAGCCCCUACUAUGUUUAUGAUUGGUCUGCUGCCAGAAUUUAGGUUUUUUUAAGUGGUUCAUUUGUGUCUAUUAUUAAAUUGAUCAAAUGCCCUCAGUCUAGAAAACUAUCUGCCUACUAAGAAAUACUCAACAAAAUUUCAUAUGAGUGCAGUCUCCCUAAUGGACAGUCUCCCUGAACAAUAAGGGAGCUUAAAGAAGUUAUAUAAGCUCGAUUAGAUUAAUCCAAGUGGCAUUUUUCAAUAAAGUGGUCAAUAAAAUGUUUUCAUGUAUUUUACAUAUUCCUAUACCAAAAUGGAUACUUCCCCACAUGUUUCUAUGUAUUGAUUUUAAUGUCUCUUUAGAGGUAGUGAAGGAAGAAUUUCUACUUCUGAAAGAGUUCUUUUUCAAAAAGGUUGCCAGAUCAUCUGUAUAAGAAAUAUACUUUAAACUUUUGUCAGUGCUUUUGGUUCAUUGUAGAUUAAGUAUGAUAUUUCAGAGUUUAUGAAGGACAAAUACCACCCUAGCCAGAUCCACCCCUGAUUCCAGAAGUCUGGGGAAGAAAUUUUCACCUAGCAUGUAGAUAAGUGCAGAAAGUCACUGCCCACUCCCAGCACUGACUUUCUCUGGGAAUUCUGUCAAAGAACAUAACAGCUAAUGAGACUCCUAAGCUAAAAAUAAUCUUAUAUUACCUGAUGGUAGGAAAGAAAGGGAAAAACAUACCAGUGGGUUUUGAUCAAGCUUGCAACUGAGACAAAAAAAUGCCCUUGUGGUAAAUUGUGUAUGCCUAUGUUCUGAUAGCCGAAGUGGCAUCAUCUGGAGCAGCCUCUGCAGUAAGGGAGACAGUGUAGAGAGACACCAUAACUGUGUAUUGAAUAUCUGCUUCCUACAUCUGCUGAACAUUCCAUUGCCAGUGGAGUCUCAGCACAGAACGAACACAGAUCUGUAUCAGGAGGAGAAUGGUUAAAAACCAUUUAAAUCAAUGUCCUAUUAAAUUUAGGAAAUGUUCUAAGUAAUGUUAUGUGGUUGUAUGAGAGAAAAGAGAGGGAGGUAACCUGAUCUGUAGGCACAUGUCAUGUUGCGAAGAAAUAACCUAUGAGAUGCGACUCAUUAAACAUGUGGAAAAGGACACAGGAUGAAAAAAUAAAGCAUUCUUGACAUGGCAUGCCAAAAUUAUGUAUGAAGCACAGAUAAUGUCAAGAGGUCACCACUCAGUGGGAAUGUUCUAUGCUAGCAUAUCAUACACAGUUGAUAAUCAAGAGAAAGUUCUCAUGGUGUUGGACACUAAAAGUCUGAAAUCAGCGUACCAGAAAAGUUGGGUUCUGGUGAGGGUUACUUUCCAGAUACAUACGCCCAUGUUCACGGUGGACUUGGCAGGCCUUGUAGGACAACAGGGUCCUCUGGAGCCUUUUUUUAGAAGGUUAUAAAUUUCAUUCAUCAGUCACAAAAACUCCAUUCUUGGCUUCCUAGUUUCUCAUAUAAUUCUGUUAUGCAGACUGUAGCUUGGGUAGGUAUUACAUGUCAUUUAGUUAUUGAGUCCACAACUGCCUUGGGCUACCCAUGGGCUGGUAUUACAGGUGCAAAGUACUAUACUCACUAAGAUGUAUGACCACUGUGUGUGUGUGUGUGUGUGUGUGUGUGUGUGUGUGUGUGUGUGCGCGCGCGUGCGCGCACACGUGCACACAUUCAAGGACACGCCCAUGCACAUUGUAGUGCUUUCAGUCUUUGUACUCUUUAGUACUGCAAAGCAAAGAUUUAGGACUGGGGUCUUUAUACAAAGGACAAGCAAGGAUCUGUGGGAGAUAUGUUCAAUUUUAAUUCAGCUCCACUCUCAAGUAGGUUCAAAAUAUACCCGGUCACCGAUGCCUUAGCUAUAAAUGCUCACAGAUGGGGAAAUGUAACCAUCUUUUGGUUUUCACCCUGUGUUGCUGUGUUGCUACAGCCCUUUUUCUGUGGCCCCUAUGACCCUUCUUUUCUCAUAUUGCUUUAUUUUUGAACAAAGGUAGCUGGCAGUCAGGUGGCCAGGUGGCCAGCGUUCUUCUAUGCUAAAUCUUUCUCUUACAUAAACUCCUGUGCUGUCUCUCCUCCCUGUUUCCCUGUUUCCCUCCUACCUGGGUUUCUGAUGUGUUCCUUAUUUGGAUGUAAAUCUCUCACUGGUGAUGCCUCUUCUAUCUAUUUAUAAUCCUCUUCCUCCAAGGCACUGACUCAUUUCUCUCUUUAAAUUUGACCUUCUAACCUUCUCUCUUCCCUGUAACUUGGCAAUCGUUUGGGUGGCACUUAGUAUGAAGGACAUGGGAUGCCAAGUAAUUACACUAUAUUACAGUUUACGGUGUCAGCGGCCAGUAGGAAAAUUGCACUUGACAUGCCAUUAUUUUUGCCAGGCCUUUGCAUGUUAAGAGCACUGGGCGACUCAGCCACAGCCAAAUUGUAUCUUUGGCCUUGCAAGAACAAUUCACUGUCAGUUCUGUGAGGCUUCUGCCUACUCUGACAGAGCCCUGUGCACCAAUAUUUUGGCAAAAUGCAAGUCAGAAUUGUGUGUCUCAAUCUGGCCAAACAACAAGCGUUGCUUGCCUUUUGCUCAGUGUCCUGACUUGAAAAUAACAGGCAGCUCAGAGUAGUUGGAUGUCAUUUGAUGGCGGCAUAAAUAAAAGUUACACUCUCAGUCCUCAAAAUUCACCAAUGCACAAACAAGUGGACACAUAGUCAUAUCUACACAGGCACACUAAUAUCGAUACAUGCAUGCUCCUAAAAGAACAUGAUGAAAACUCACAUGUGCACAUUCAGGAUAAACUGGGUUUAUUAUGGAAGAAAAUCUUAGGCAUCUUCUAGGUUAUUAUUCCUGAAACCUCACACUUUCGCAUUCUUUCUUACAUUCUUUAAAAAGGGUCCGGGUGACAGAAACUUUAAUAUUUGCGCAAAUAUUCUAAGGUUCUGCAGUUUUAUUCUUAUAAAAUAAAAUAAUUAUGUUGCUACAUUACUCAAAAGCUACUGUAGCAUUUGUGCUAAUGCACUCAAAUAAAAUAAUUUGUACUUUAUUGAUUCUGUGCUGGUAUAGGUGUGAUAUUUGCCCUUUCAGAAAUGAGCAAGAGAUGUCAUAUACAUAUUUCGUGUUUGCUAAAUGAUUUUGAGAAGACAUAAAGAAAAAACAAAAUUGCAUUUUCUCAUAUUUUAAAUUUGUCCAUUAUUUAUACUGUACCAUUCCAUACGAAUUAUAAUAUGAAACAAACUGGGAUGCUUAUGUUAUGUCCUAACACUACAGGGAAAACAAUAGAAGCGUUGCAAAUAAAUUGUUCACUUCCCUUCAAAAUACAGACAUGCUAAAAGUCAGAGGUAAACUUAGGUUUACUUCUGUAGAUAAUCUAAGCAAAAAAAAAAAUCAACCCAGACUUAUAAUAACAAUUCUUGUAUAUUUCAUCAUCCAUUUGAGGGUUAUUUCAUUUAUCCUUAUGUGUUAUCUAAUUAAAACAACAGUAUAUCCUUAUGGGUAAAAUAAUCAGACUAUGUAAUUCGUUUUUAUAAAUACAGAACAAAAGGUAUCCUGCAUUUAGAAUAGAGAAUCAAUUCCUAUUAUUUUCAUGGAUGAACUAAAACCCAUAGGAAUAUUGCAUGUGGACUCAAGGGCUAAAUAACUAGAGGUUUAUUUACAUAACAGAGUGGAAUGAAAACUCAAGAAUGACACAUUUAGAACAUGUGCCAAAGUCACAAUUGUCAAAAACGAUGAGUAAAAUGUGCAAAGAAUUGAAUCGUAAUAUGCAUGUGUGAUACAAAGUGCCUGACAUGUAUUUUACUAUGAAAAUACUUAUUUGCAUACUCAUGUGAAAUGUAUCUAUUCAAAGAUUGAAUGUACAUGUGUGUUCUAGCACUUACUAUCCUAAUAAUCUGUUCACCCACCCGGCAGUUGCCUAUCCUUCUUCUCAUCUUCUGUGACCCCUGAACAAGACCUAGACACUGGCAGUACUCUUGAUUUUUUGUCAUAGUUUAAGAGAAUGCUAAUCACUACCUGUUAUUUGUAUAAAGGUACUUACCAAAUUGAAAACAACCCAAGCUCAUAAAAACUCCAAAUACAUAAUGAGAAAGUGCCAUCCAGGCAAGCUUCCUUACGCAAAGUGAAGAAUUAAUUCUUGACACUGAUUCGGAUUAAUAAGUAAACCUCCAGGCAAGAAAGAUGGUCUGCUGUAAUCAAUCUUCAUUUCCAGUAUGUAUGGCCAGAUUAUCACUUAGUUUACAAAAUAGUUUUCUGUGUUUUAUUUUCAUAAUGCUCUUUAUUCUAUUAAAAGCCACAAAGUUCCUGAAAAUAAAUGGCAAUGGUGUUCAGCUCAAUUUUUAAGAGCCUCAGAGUGCUAUCCAUCCAUAAUAAAUUCUUAGAAAUCUUAUUUCAUUUGAAAAUAAGUUUAUAAAUAAAUCUUGCAUAGAAAGUGAAGGACUACACCUAUCUUACACACUUGGCUGGCAAGUGGUGAAUCUCAUCAAUUAAUCAAUUCCUGUGCUAAACAUAUUUAAUCAGUUCAUGCAACAAGGAAGAAAGAACAUUCGUUGUGUCUGCACUGCUGCAGACAUAGUAAAUGACUUCCAUUACUGUGGAACAGACCAAUUAUUAAGCGGAUGUAAAGGCUUUAUAUACGGUCCUUAAGUAGGGAAUUACCUUAUAAGUCUUUGGGUAGUAUAGUCCAUUUACAUGCUCUUUUAAACAUUUCAAAAAACAAGAAUUACUUGUAAAUAUUAGUUAUAGAAUUAUACUAUUUAAGGAAGGUCAGGCUGCUCCAGAGUUUCCAAGGUCUUAUUUUGCCUGGCUAUGCAUGUUUCCUAGAAGGUGGUAUUUUGCUUAUACUGUAGUAUACUUUAUCUGUUUAUGUCAUUUAAAUUCAACCCCACAUCUCUAGCAUAGUCCACUCAUGUCCUCACGUCUUCAUAUAUUUUGAAAUAAAGGUGAUUUUGUCAAAAGACAAAGAUCUGAAUGUUCAGUAAAGAUGUGGGAAUGUUCUUUGGAUAAGCUCUCACUUUCCCUCCGGAGGUUACAAAACAUUCAGAAACUUUUAGAUGCUAUAACCUGGAAAAGAAAUAUGAUAGCCCGCAUUCUUAUGGCUCACUAUGAGCUCUUCAAGUCCCCAGCAAUGACAAUGCCUGGGAGCUUGUAAGAGUUGAAGAGUCUCAUUCAACAGUAUAUAACCUGGUUUAGUGAAUCAAGUCUGCAUUUUCCCCAUAUCCCCAGGCCUUUUCUGAGCACAUGAGAGCAUUAAGUAUUUAAAUAUAUUUCAUAUUUAACCAAUAAAACAUUUAGUUAUAAAUUCCAAACCAAUACAUGUAAAUAUUGCAAAAAUGUUAAAAAGGACAUAGUUUUCAGUAAGUUCACCAAUUGUCAUUCAACUCCACAAUAGCCUAAAUAAUGAUUUUUGCCACUUAUUUGUUAAGUAAUUUAUUUAUAAUUAUUUAUAUACAUUUGCUCCUGACAUUGAGACUGAUGUCUACAUGAAAAGGAAUAGUCACAGAGACGAUGUUCGAAAAGCUUCAAGGGACGAUUCCGGAGCAAAUAGGUGCUUAUCUCGUUUGAACCCAUGUGGUAGGUGGAAGGCAAAACAGGACUCCUUCCUCUGGCAUUGGUCUUGUAUGGGCAGUCAAAGAAGAGAUUCACUCUGCCCUUUACUUCUCUUCCCACACCAUGUGUUAAUGGUGCCUGUUUCCUUCUCAGAGCCAUGGACUCCAUUCCUUUCUGUCUGUAUUUACCAGAGUUCUGCAGAUGUGCUCUGGAAACUACAGAGGAUCAAAUGUCACUGGGCUUCAGUGGAGACAAUAGCAGAAUCCAAAUGAGCUUGCUCAGAAAAGCCUGGAAAUAUUGGGAAAGAACAGGGACUAAAACACGGGGUACAUAUUUCUAUUUCUUUCUAAUCUCAGAAAAAAUGAUCGGCUCUGUGGCAUAGACAGUUUUUUGGUAUGAAUAUCAUUGUGUUGAAUAUGGAAUCCACAUCAUGGUUCAGAGAUAUUAAAGAGGGGAAGAAAAACCAGUUUUUUUUUAAGUCACCAGGUAAGCAGAUAGUAUUUUUGAGAGGGUUUACACUGUGACAUUUUUAUCAAGUUUGCUGGUCAAGUCUCACAGCAAGCCAUCGGGAAAUGUACUAUGUACUCACUACCGUGUUAGGAGUCACUGACAAGAAGAGUUAAAGCCAUUAGAACGCACUUGUUUGACAAACAAUAACUGGAUGAUAAAGCCAGAGUCAAAUCUGGGCAGGGCACAUCAAAGCUUUCUUUGGUAACCAUGGUAACAUUACAUCACCUGAAUCUUAAGUGGUAAGUCCUUAAUGUCCUAGGGUGAGACUCCCAAUAUGCAGAUGAGGAAAGUGAGACCACUCAUGAAUACCAAGAUAUAGUCCCAUGAUUAGAAUAUAGUGGUUUGGUAGUAGUUUAGCACAUAUUAGAGAUGUUUGAGCUGCAAAGCUUAAGUGAGAAAAUAUGUGCUUGGGGCAUCUGCAUGUGGUGACUGCAUUAUUUUCUUUAUAGGGAGACAAUGUUCCUGCAGUCUAGGCCCAGGAAGGAAUGCUCUCAUAUUCACAGUGAGUUGUAGGCUGUUUUCUAAAUAGAGGAGGGCUAGCACAGUAUUUAUCUCCUUUUACAUACUCAUUUUAAAACAUGUGGUAAACCAGGCAUGCUGAUGCACAUGUAUAAUCUUGAUCAGAUAAAACUUUAAGACAAGCCUGGGUGAGCAGGGGGAUCCUUAUAUCAGCAAAGCAUGUGUAGAGGCUAAGAAUAGGGCACACUAGUUAAUGUGUUUCCUGCACCAGCCUGAGAACCUGACUAAAGAUCAUCGGGACUCACAUAAAGCCAGAUGUGGUGCUAGGGCCGCCCUGUAACCUCAGCAGUCCUACAGUGAGAAGGAAGAUGAGAUAGGGCAAUCCCAGAAAACUUGGAGCACAGCUAGCUUGGCAAAGGUAUUCACAUGCAAACAAAAUAACUUUUCAAACACGGUGUUUGCUGUACUCUGACCUUCAUAGGCGUGCCAUGACAUGCACAUAGCAGCACUUACACAUAUGAAUAUGCACAGACACACAUAUUUUUAAAAGCUCCUAUAUCAUUUUUUACACUUAUGCACUAUUGAUCAGUCAUCUACAUGUAAUCUGAUUGUAUUACUGGUUAUCGUGCCUGCAAGUAUAUAAUUGUUCCUGCCUCAUGAAAUAAGAGGAAAAGGCAUGGAGAAUGCAUUAGUUGGUGAAUAUUUUGUUGACGUUUAAGGCACCGUGCUAUUUCUUUUAAAUAUAUUUGCAGGUUCCUACUGUCUAUCUACUUAUGAGAAUUAAGAUUUCCUAAUUCAGCCACUUUUCAGUGAUCUGAGUGAGGAUAGUUAAAAUGGUUUUUCCGAGCCUGGUGUGAUUCUUAACUCCCCCAAAGCUGAGGCAUUAAAUUACUCACUAAAGUCUUUGGUAAGAAGUGUGCAAUUUUCUAGGUUUUCCUUAAAGCGGGAAUUGCCAGAACAGCAGAAAGUAACAUAUAAUGGUUGAGGGGAAGGAAACAUAAAAUCCUGUCCACAUAGACAGGAUCUAAAAGAAGACAAAGUGCUUGUACCCUCAAGUUGCCUGAACUAAUUGUGCUAAUGCUGAAUAAUUCAGUAACAGUCCCCUGGAUGCUGGAAUCUGAGCUGCUGGGCUGUAUUGCCCAGGCUGCAGAGGUGGGGAGAGCAAUUCAUUGCUCUCUGCAGUGACUUCUGGUGGCCAUUUGUAACUCUGUGCAGCUGUGUUUUUUCUGUGCCUUUCUUGUUCACUUGUUCUGUUCCUCUUCUUGCUUUUCAACCCUGAACAUAACGGCACUCCUCUGGGUGUCCCGGUCAUGCUCUUUGCAGCUGGUACACUUUAUCCACUGGGUCCACCAAGAAGAAACAUCUCAUGCCUUUAGACAUGUCUCCAAGGAAAAGUAAUUUGGGAAAAGAGCAAACAUGGCUAUUAAAAUUGACCAAAUCCAAUAUCUCCUCAAAGCAAGUCAGACUCCCCAGUUACCCGAAGGCCUUAUUUAGAAUGUGGCAGGGUUAUUUAUAGUGAAGUCUUUCUUCACCUUUCCUUUUAUGUGCUUCUGUGAGCCUAAGUCUUUACGUGAUUUUCUCAUUGCUAUAGUCUGACUUAUGAAUGUGUGUUUGUGUAUGUAUGUAUGUGUGCGUGUUUUUGUGUGUCCAUAUGUAUAUGUUUGUGUUUCUCUCUGUGUAUGUGUGCAUAUGUGUGUGUUUUUGUAUGUAUGUGUAUUUGUGUAUAUGUGUGUAUGGAUGUGUGAGAGCAUGUGUGUUUGUUUAAGAGUAUAUGUGUUUGUGCAUGUGUGUCCUUGGAGAGUGUGUGUAUGUGUGUGUGUGUGUGUGUGUGUGUGUGUGAGAGAGAGAGAGAGAGAGAGAGAGAGAGAGAGAGAGAGAGAGAAUGCACACAUGGGGAAAUGCAUGUGUGUGUUAAUUGCAGGGCAACAGAACAUUGGCAAGCGCUCAUCUUUUGGUUUCAUUUCUGCUUUUGCAAGAGCUUUGUAUAAUCAGCCUUGUGAAGUUUGUCGUUGUUGUUGUUGUUGUUGCUUUUUUCAAAAACUGUUUCAUGUUUAGUAUGACUCGUCUCCUUGUUCAAGGCCAUUGUAUCUCAUAAAUUCUUUCUACCUUUUCUGUCAUUAGAGUCUUAAGCUAAUGUUCUGAGUAUUUUAAAUAGCCAUUUCCAAAUUCAGGAUACCACUUAGAUUAGCAUUCAUUAUUUAGUAUUUAAAUAAUCCCAUCUUUUCCCCCCCAAUUCAUCCUUUGACUGAAAGAUAGCAGAAGGAAGAAACUGAAUUAUGAAGCAGUGAGCAUGAAGACAUGGGUGCUUCAGCACAUCCCAUGACUGUAUCCAUGCAAGGAAUAUGAAGCAUGGAAUGAAAUCUAAACACAAAGAGCAAAAAGGAUGCGGUAAAUACACAGUGAGACUGAAUGCUGGAAAUGCUGUACUUUCUCCAAGGAAUUGAUAUUUAAACAUGUACAAUGUGUGGCUCAUGUGUUUCAUGCAUGUCAGGAUAGGUGCGAAGGUAUUUCAGGAUGUGUGUAGAUGAUAGAGUCCUGUGACAAUGUCAUAACAGUUGUUAUGGCAACUUUACACAGGUAAGAAUGAUCUGAGAAGAGGGAGGCAAAAUUGGGAAAAUGCUGCCACUGGAUUGGUCUUUGGGCAAGUCUGUGGGUAAUUUUCUUGAUUGAUGACAGAUUUGGAAGGGCCCAGAUCACUGAAGGUGGUGUAACUUCAUGGCUGUGCUAUAAGAAAGCAGACUGAGCAAGCCAUUGGGAGCAAAAGGUUAAACAACAUUAUCCUAGGGCCUCUGCACCAGCUAAGGCAUAAAAUUCCUGCACUGACUCCCUUCCAUGAUGGCCCUUUACCUGUAAAAGUAAAUGAAACCAACCUUACCCUCCAGAUGUUGAAGUUGAUUUUCAUCUCAGGUAUUUAAUCACAUCAAUAGAAACCUUAACUAAGGCAUGCCAGAGUAUAAUGAGAAAGGAGAAAAGGAGCAGAAGGCAACUGGAGUGAUCAAUAUUUACAUGGAAAUACAGAAAAAAGAUAAAUGCAUUUUCAUUUUGAUGCACGACAUUUUCUGAGUAGCCACAGCUGGCCAGUCUCAGCAGGAAGCGAGAACAAUUUGAGAGAACUAACAGACAUGAUGAUCUUUCUUCCUAAACAUUUAGGAAUAAACUGUUGGCUUUUGAACCUUAUAUGCCUCCUUGCUGUUGAUGCCCCAAACAAAAUUGUGACCAUUUGCUUCAAUGCCGAUCAGGAACGUAAUGACUUAGCACAGAAUAUCUGAAAUUAUUGUAUCUUAUUGUUCAUAUUAACGUACAGUCUCCAAUACUGUUUACAGAAGACAUGGAAAGGUAGAAACAAAAUUACUUGUUCCAUCCUUUACUGCCAGGUGACUGUAAACCAGUGUCUUCUCCAGAGACCUCCUAUCAGCCAAGCUGAGCUGUUCUAUAAUAAAGCAAGGUGGUGUUCUGGAUUAUUACAUACAUGGUGGUGUCCAUCUGAUCCCAGGUUUUUGGUAUGUGUUUCUAUGUAUUUGCCCUUUCUUCAUGCCCUGGUCAUAUCAACCAGCUCAUGUCUGAAUCCAUUCAGUGUGCACAGAUAAUCUGCUGAGUUGGGAUUUAUCUUUGUUGUCUUUGCACACAGAAACAACUGUUUCUGUGCAAUUGAUUUUAAAUUUAAAAUGGCCUCAAGGAGGCUGUGGGAAGUUUACAAAUGAAUCUGAGCGCACACAUAUCUAUCCAAUAAACAAAAAUAAAUAAAGUGAAAAGUUAUGGCUAUGGUAGAUGGUAGCAAGGAAAAGAACACUUUUUAAAGGGCUAGUGUCUUCUAGGUCAUAUAACACGUGCAUCCACAGAUCACUUAUGGGAUAAGAUGUUUCUAUCUCGAAAAGCACACACACCACUUGAGAGAUACUGAGUCACUCCAUGGAAUGGUCAAUAGGAUUGAAAGUCUGAUUGGAAUGCAGAAUGGGCUUCACCGAAUCAAAUCUUCAUUUUGAUAUUCUUAGCCACCCCUUCCCUCUCUUUAUUUGGUUCUCCCUUAUGUUUCUUUUCCCAUGGAUAAAAAAGAGCAUAUCUCUUUUUAAAAAUGGAAACAUGGAAAACUUCUUAUUUUUAUCCAACACAGUUGGUUCUUCCUAAAAAAAGUGUUUUUGUUAUCCCAAUAAACCAGGACAUCAAGAGAUAAACUAAGACAGCAUAAGACCCACAAGAAAAUCAAUAAUCUGUCUUUUGUUGGGUGCAUUCUGCUCUGACCAUCGUGACUUGUGCAUCUUCUAUGAAAUCCUGAGCACGUCAGGAGGCAGGUCCCCUGUGAUUAGUCCUCUCUACUAGGAAGUAUAUUGAGAUUAUUAACGUAAAACCCUUAGGUAGGACUUUGACCCCUAAAUCCUGCAGCAAGCCAAUGAUGAAUGUAAGGAAACCUGAAUACCACCAUCACCUCUUAAGCUCUCCAUCCAAUCAGGUGGCCUAUGUGGUCUCUUUAAACUCAGGAAGCAUGAAGCUUCCCUGUUUAUCCUGGCAAAUGGAGACUGCAAACCUGGAUUACUAACAGACAUCCUCCUUGGGGACAUUAUUAAAACAGGUUUUCAAACACGCACGCUACCUUUUGACCUCUUAGCAUCUGAUUAUCCUAGAUUAUGUUCCUUAAUAUAUUCCAGCACCCCACAUUCUGAGCAAUGCAUAAUUUAAGCCAGAAAAACAGAAAUGCAAAAAAGCCUGAAGAGUUCUUCUGCUAACAUUUGAAGAAAUCCUCUGUAGUUAAAAGUCUUUCGAGGUUUGGGGCACGGAAAUAGUCACAGGCUUAGAUUGUGUGGGUUCAAGGCCUCAUGGCUCUGCCAUUGUUUGUGUGUAGUUGCCUACAAUGAGCUGCCUAGCUCGGAAACUCUGCCACAUUUACAAAGGAAAUCACUGUGUCCAGGAAGUACUGAAAUUCAGGAGUGCGAGAGAAGCAAAGGGUGCCAUGUGGAUGCUCCUCUCCCUUGAGAGACCUGCUGAGGGAUCUGAAGAAAGGAUGGUUCGUUUGGACCAUGAAACUUCCAAGAGUCUUUGCAAAUGCAAAAUCUUCCUCCUCAGCCGCUCUUCACAGCCCCUCAAGGUUCUGGCUUCUUUCAAACUGUAUAAAAGUCUCAUCACAGUAGAAACUUUUCUAGCCUAUCCAGUUGUAUCCCAUCCGUCCCGGAAAUGCUGAAACGUGAGAGGUGCGCAGUUGAAAUUCACUGUCAAUCAUCUCCUUAAGUAAAUGGUAGUUUCCCCUUUGUAAUUUGCUCUUUCAGAUUUAUCAACUGACCCAAGGCAAACUCUUUGAGCCACAGGCUUUUGUUUGAAACACCAGGGAAUACAAAUACUCUUGCUUCUGCACAGAUACACAGGCGCACAGAAUGGAGGGUAGUGGACAUGUCUGAAGCUGUUACCAAGAUCUCACUUGUCACACUGCCCGGCCUCCAACUAGUUAUAGAGAAAAGGUCGGCCUCCCAUCCACAGAAAUCAGCCUCCCUCUGCCUUCACAGUGCUGGGAUUAAAGUCCUACAUCACUAGGCUAGGCCAGCUUAUUGUUAUUGUAUGUAAAUAAAAUUGCACAGCACAAUAACAGGUAUUUAAGCAAAAUUUUCAACAAGUAUAAAAAUUAAGACAUGCUUGAUAAAAGUGAGUCUAUUGUAAUAACAGUACAUUCAAUUAUUUUCCUUUGCGCACAAUUUAAACAAUGGCUUUACCGCCACAUUCUCAAAUCUUUUAAAAUGCUAUGAUUUGUAUUAUCUGAUACUUGUUGGAAUAAAAGGAAGCUUAAUGGAGUAUUUUGUAAGGAAUGAAUGGAAAGAACUUCAGAUUUGUAAUAAUUUCAAUAUGAUGUACUCUCACAUAGAUGUGAAGAACCAAACUCUCUAUUUCAAUAAGUGAUUAUUAACUUUUCAAAUAAUAAAAAAUAAUUAUUUUAACCAAAAGAAUUCCUCAAUGAAUUUGUUUGUAUUCACAAUGACAUUCAAAUCCAUCAUGGAUUAUGUGCCUCUGUAUUCAUCUAAGAUAUUUUUUUUGUUUUAUGAAAGCAAGAUAUUUUGCGAAAUACCCUGUUUUUGGAUGAGAUGGUAUUCUAACCCAUUUCGAAAAGGUCCCUUAAAGAAAGAAGCAAUUUAAUUACAAGAAAUCACGAUGUACCAGAGAAAUAACUCAAGCACUUUUAUAAUUCUAGAUGGAACACUCAGGGUGUAUCUCACUUACUGUACAUAAAAAUCACGUGAGGUGUGUCUUAGUUACCUUUCUAUUGUUUGAAAAUGGACCGUGAUCAAGGCAACUUAUAUAAGAAGAUAUUUAACGUGGUCCUCAUGGUUCCAGAGAAUAUCAAAGGCUAUGAGAACAAUGACCAGCAGGCAGGCCGUAUGGUGCAGGAACGGUCACUAAGACCUUAGAUCUGAUCCACAAGCACAGGGCAUCAAGACCCAAUUGGAAAGGUGUGGAUUUUUGAAACCUCACAGUCCACUCCAGAGUUACACACUACUUCCAAGAUCCUCUUAAUACUUCCCAAAUAGUUUCACCAAUAGAAAUCAACCAUUGGAAUAUGUGAGCCUAUGGGAGUAAUUCUCAAUCACCAAACUACUGGGUACCAUCUAGAAUGUAUUUCAAUUGGUAGGCAUCAACAGAUUUAAUGAGGUAAUAUAAUAUAAGUUAAUAUAAUAUAAUAUAUAAUUCUAUGACAUAAUUGAUGAAUUGGAUGUCAAACCUUACUAUAUUUGCCAUGAUUUUCUCUUAAACCUUUAUGACAUGCAGUAUGUCAUCAGAAGUUACAAGUUCUUAAACUAUUUCCGUUAAAGAAUGUAACUGAACACAUACAUAGUUUAGAAACUAGUGUGACAUUCUCGAAAAUCUUCUAAAUCAAUAUCAUUGAUAAAUUUGUUAUUCUGAACUUUUGACAAAUGAUUGGGUAAAAAAAAGUUGAGGGGCAGUGGACCAUAAGGUUCAGAGGGCCCAGCACCUCAUACAUGGGUCCUGUAGGUGUCCCAUCUGCUCUGGACCUGUCACAUGACCACAGCACCCCAUGAAGAGGAUCAUGACAUUCAGUCAUAUAGGAGCAGCACCCUGAGCUCCUCCACAUGCCGAUUAGACAUUCCUAACAUCUCAGACCAGGCCAAUAGAAAAUAUCUACUGUCUGCUCUCAACCUACCCCAAAAUGUAUAUAAGACCCUACUCAGUAGGAAUAAAAGAAAUAAAAAUUACUGUAUCAAGGAUUGACUGAGAGCUUCAAUCAUAUAAGAGCGGUAACACUUCCUCAGGAAGAGAGUUCUCUCCCAAAAUUUUUACCACUGGAGUCUGCCUGGUCCCAUCUGUCACUUCUUGCCUGAUGGUCUCAAUCUUGAUGCUUAGCUGAGUCCCCUCAGCAUAUUGCCACUUUUCACUGACUCCAGAGAAGCUUGGUGGUCAGAGUAGUGGUGGCAGUUGGAGGGCCAGCCACUCACCCUUUAGAAAGAGAGCAGCGGCUGCCUUGAUGUGACUCCUCUCUCCCCUUCAGAGAUUGUACCUUCAAUACCCCUCUAGUUAGGCCAGAGCCCCUGACGAUCUCCAAGGAUAGAGUCUGGUGUAGAGGACUGAUAACUGAUGCUCAACAUGGCGCUUGAACCCAAGAUCCUGAGAUUAAGAGUCUCAUAUUCUACAGACCAAUGUAGCCAGGCCAGCUUCUCCUUCAGUGUCCUGAUCUAGUAUGUCGUAAAUAAGUUACGAUUUCUUAAACUACUCCCAUUAUAACAUGUAACUGAACACACAUACAGUUUAGAAAGGAGAGUGAAAUUCUCUAGAUUGUUUAAAAUCUAUAAAAUUGAUAAACUUGUUAUUCUGAAGUACUGACAAAUGAUUGGGUAAAAGUCACCUUCUGUAUUUGUGUAAUAGUUUUAGAACAUUAAGUAUGUUAAGGAUUUUUCUAAGGUGACAUGAUGCAUAAAAUACUUUUUGGAUAAUAUAAAAAUCCCAUUUGAAGAAUGCAACCUAGGAAUGUUAGAGGGUUUUUUCCCCCUCUUUAAACAACUCCAACUAUUUUUAAAAUAACAUCUCCUGUAGUCUUAGUAUUCUCACUGAGACCAAGUCGCCUACAUUAUCCAGAUCUCACAUCAACAAUCUAAAACAGCUUGAAACGGGAAGGAUGCUCUCCCACUGCCUCUUUAACAGAGCACAUAGCUUGAAGCUAAUGCAACUUUCCAGGCAGGGAGGAGAAGAUCACUAUGUAAAUCAUGAUCACUGACAAGUUAAGCCUCAAGUCAAAAGCAGGAAGUAUAGUUUGUGUAUUUACCUCAGGCAGUUUGUCUCUAUGGGGGAGCCUUUUGAAAAAAAAAUACAUACAGCAAGUUGAUAUCAACACAGCCACACGCAUAUACACACAAUACUAUAUUAACAAGUGCUGUCGUCUACUUUUGACAUAUAUGGAAUAUAAGGUUAAAGUUAUCCUCGCGACUUCUAAAUCCGUCUGAUAGUCCUAAUCCAGGCUUCCAUGUUUUAAAAAAAUUCAAAAGAGAACACUCCAUCUUGAUGAAAUAUCUAUUUCAUUUACCUGUGAUAUAGCUAUUACACAUGAGACUGGGGUGUGCAGUUACCUGAGACGGUCUUCUUCACACAGAAGUCACAUGUUCCCCAGCGCAAUAGUCUUCAUUGCAUGCAAAUCAUUUUUUUCUGAAUUUGAAAACUAUAUAUGUUCUUCCACUGCUUGUAAAACCUAUGUUGCUAAACAACUCCCAGCCUCAGUGUAGUGUGGUUCACUUAACUUUUCACGAAGGAUAGAGAACACUUUGAACAGAACAGAGUGCUACACCGUUGGCAACUGCGAUGACCAGGAAAGCAUUGCUAGCUAAAAAGAAGUGAUGCUGACCUUCCUGUAUGGAGUACUUCUAGCCAUGUUACUGAAAUCACCAUUGAACGUGUUUAGAGCUAUGACCCGAGAAGUUGAUAUGCAAAACAUUUUAGCAACUUCAUGAAGAACUACUGGACUAAGGGAAGGAAGGAAAAAUUUCACCUAAUGCUCUACCCCCAUUAACAGUGACUUUUAUUAUUCUAUAAUAAAUCAGACUUGGAAUCAGACUCAGAGUGUUGCUCCUGCUAGACAAUAACUCUGACAGUAAGAUACAGUACAAGCACAAUAUGCUUUUCUUCUUUCUGUUGACUGUGCAUACAUAGUAAAUGUUCACUCAUUAAUGUUACAGAAUAACAUUUUUCCUUAAAGUUUUAUGACAUCAGCAGGAGCUAAAUAAAUGUAUGCUCAGUUUUCUUCUAACUUCCUUCGUGUCAUUUUGAAAACAGUCUACUGAGAGAAGGCAUAGCAUGAACUAUCUCAAGCCAUGUAUCUUAUGUGGCCCAGCAUGUUCAUAUGAACAUCAGAAAUUAGUGCGAAGUUAUACAGAGACUUGUGGAAUGUUAUACAUGUCUAGAAAUGUUUCCCAGGGUGCCUUAAAAUAAGCAUUUAUCAUAUUUAACUGUUAUAUGUUUUACUUUAACAAUAAAAAUGUGUCAUGUUUUAUUAUCUCUAUGGUAUAUUGAGAACUUGGUACACACCAGGAGCUUGUAUAACUCUGACAAUUCUUUUAUCUGGCUCCAACUCUUGUUUGAUUCAUUAUUCUAUGUGUAUAGAAACUACCUGUGUCAUGAUUUUCAUAAUCAUUAUUCUAAGAGUUUCUGCCUCUCAAUCUCAAUCUUCCUCUUAAGACUCCAGGCUCCAAAAUUUGUGGCCUAACAAAAUUAGUGGUAACUUUGUUUCCUAAGUAGAAGGAACCUGGGAGAAGUCUGCUAGAGGACAUUGACCUCCAGUUUUGCAUUUAUAGAAUAUUUGGUCUUUUUACACUGUGCUUGCUUCUCUCUCUCUCUCUCUCUCUCUCUCUCUCUCUCUCUCUCUCUCUCUGUAUCUGUUGUGUGUGUGUGUGUGUGUGUGUGUGUGUGUGUAUGAGUGUGUGUGUGUAUGUGUCGAGUGUGAAUGUAUAUGUGAGUUGUAUCCAGAGCAUAGGAACAGAUUUCUCCUUCUCCCAUGCUGGUACUGAUAUUAAACUAAGCGCUAAGGUCUGCUGCCAAACAUAGAUGUUGAAUCAUUUCACCAGCACUACAAUAUCUGUUAGGUUAUACAGUAGACAACCACUAAUUGAUAAAUCCUUGUUUCUCUAUCUUUAUAGUUCCAGUUACUGUUUCUAAUCAGAUAAUGUAGAGUCCCUACUAAUCAUUGAAAUUUGUAUCUUUCCAAGGUUGGCCCUGCUUACUAAUGAGACCUCCAUUACAUGGCUGGGUUUACCUGCUUGGUCAUGAUCUGGUGUUUUAGUUUCAACUUCUGUACAUUUCCCAUCCAAAGAUUUCUGAAUUGAGUAUUUUUUCCUUUCUUUAUUAUUUGGGUUACACAUUUUGCCUUAUUGACUCAUUGCUAAAAAAACAAACAAUAAUUACCUUAAAGAAGAUAGUUUUUGGACCUAGUAACUCAGUAAAUAUCUAAGCUUAUGUAGGUGGCUGACAAGAGCAGAAUAUGGAAGCAGUAGUCUAUCCUCAUCUAGUUUUCACUUUCUGCAACUUCUGUUACCUCUAGUGAAUGGUUACAUCUAAUUGAUAAAUGAAAAAUUCCAGAAAUAAAAAGUUUAUAUGUUUGUAGUUGUAUGUUAUAUUGAGUAAUUUGAUAUAAUCAUACACAACCUUGCUUUUUCCAAGCAUGGAUGUAAGUCAUCUCUCUCUGUACUUUGUAUCCAGUACCUUAUCACCACUUAAGUAGCUUCUUGGUUAAUCAGAAAGAUUGCCAUGACAUUCGAGUGCUCCCAGACACUUUCACAGAGCAACAGCCAUGGUAUGAAACACAACAUCUAACAAUGCUAAACUUUAAUUUAUUAUUUGUCACUUUUACUAGUGUACAAAUGACAUCUGAGUUAUUAGUUAAUCUUCAUAGGUAUGUGUAUGUAGGGAAUCACAAUAUAGAUAGAGAUCAGUGUUUUGUUUGAUUUCAAACAUAUAUAUGUUCAAUAUAUAUAUAUGUAUGUAUGUAUGUAUGUAUGUAUGUAUAUAUAUUGAAAUGAAGCUCCUGAAGCCUGGAAAUGGGGUAAGACCACUGCUGUAUCUUCUCCAAGCUACAGGAGUUUCCAUGCAGGCAUCUGUGUUAACAACCAUUCUAUAUUUUGUUUGAUCUGCGAUAUGAGGUUGAAUAUCUCAGCUUUCUCUGCAGUACCCAGCAGACAGACCCGGUUCUUUAGUUGUACAUCAAUGAAGAUGCAGGAAGGGCUUUUUGAGUUCCCCAUGACAUUGCCCUGUUUAGGAACAAAAAAUGUGGUUGAAGAAGUUACAGAAGACUAAAAACUUUUGGAUACUAGGAUAUCUGGGUUACAUUUCUGUUAGGGUCAUGUCUUGUAGCUCUUAAAAAAUCUCAGUUCAGUCAAGUGUCAAAUAAGAAAAAUAUAGUACCUGAUUUGUGGGAAUUGGAUGAAGAACUUUAAUAGUGCCUGUCAUAUGGAGGUUUCUUGUUAUCCUACUGUAAUUUCAAAAUUCACAAAAUGUCAGGAAUAAUGGAUUUCUUCAUAUUCAUCAAAUGUCUUACUUCGUGUUAUUAUUUUAUGUACUUAUACACAUUAUAUGUUUCUUUUGAACAAUUUACCUGCAAGUUGAGAGCUGAGUAGGAGUACAUGACUGUAAUACUAUCCUGCUGUCAUUACUAGGUUUAAUUUUAUUUAUAUUUUGAGAAAUAACUCCAUGAUUUCAAUUACCAAAAUCUGUUAAGGAUAAUCUUCCCUCUUGAUCAAUAUCUUAUUCAAGACAGAGUGUAGAGUGAGGCUUGCUGUAUCCUCUAGAAAUAUUAAUAUUAUUUGACUUGGAAUACCCCCAAGUAAAAUCAACUGUAGACAGGUAGUCUUAAGUGUGUUGUGUUGCAUCUCAGAGUAUUGAUUAAUACUCUUUCAAGAAGAGAAAAUGCCAGAGUGUGACUUUGUUUCAUGUGGGUGUAGUUCAAGACCAACUUUACAUGCAUUCAUUUUCCAGGAAACAGGAUGGUCCCCUUUAUAAGGGCUUUAGCAGGAUGAUGUGGUUCAAUCAUAAAACAUGACUUUACCAUCCUGGGUUCAACCUUAACCUCAAUGUUGUUAUUUUUAUCUCUGCUUCUGGGGACUCUGUAGGGUGAUCUGUCAGUUCCCUUAUACUUCAGAUAUUUUUAGCCAGAAACUACAAAAGGCAACAGUAACCAUUUCUACAGGCCUUGGGUUUUGAUGAAUUUAUCUGCAAGGAUGGAUUAAAUAUAUUUUUCUUUGUCUUGAGGCAAAGGAGACAUAUGUCUUUUAAAGCUGCCUAGUUGGACCAUCUUUUCAGUGUGAUUUAAAAAUACAAGAAACCUUCAUUCAGGAUUAGGAUCAAGAGUAGCAACUAAAAAUUUUAUAAAUUCAGGCUGGAAAGUAAGUGGGUAGAUGUUUUAAAUCUAAGGAGUUGGGCAGGUAGGAUGGAAACUUGGGAGGAUGAGAGCAGAUUCCCUUUUUUAAAAUACUUAUUAAUUUUGAUCAGGAAUUAAGAAGAACAUGCAUUUCAUAUAAUUAUGAGCAUUCUCCAAAUCUAAUGUAAGCAGUCAUGUUUCAAUUCCUUUGAGUACAGAGUAAGACUUACAAAAAGACAUGAAUCACACCAAAAAUGACUGCUGCCUAAACAGCUUUGGCCCAGAGAAGUCAGAGCUGGUUUAUCUUUUGUAAAAUAAAUAAAUAAAUAAAUAAAUAAAUAAAUAAAUAAAAAUGUUACUUUUUAUAAUCCCAAAACAAACUGCUUUGCCUUUGAUGUUACUUCUGUUUUCUUUUUAUGAUGUGUUUUAUAAGUUCCAUUCUGGUAUCUCUCUCAUCUCUUCAAAUCUCUAUCCCAAGUCUCAGAGUGGAUGGGUUUCUUUGCCUCUACCCUUGAUCUACACUUUACCUUGGUUAUGGGCAAGCAAGCUGGCAUGAUUCCACAUAGGAAUUACUAUUUUGGAAACUUGGUAUAUUUCUCUUGAGUUGCUUGAGCUAAUGCUCAGAGAGGUGCAUUUGCUGGAAGUCUUGCAGAACACACUUAGAUCUCCAAUGGGACAGUAGAAGAAAAUACGAAUAGUAGCUUGUGCUAUGGCUUUCUUCAAAGAUUGCCUAAUGUAAGGAGCAAAGACCAAACGUUGAAUUGAUACAAAAACUCAGCAAAACCAAGACCACAUUGAAGAUUCUUGAAAGCACAUGUGAGGGGCAGGUUUCCUAUCAAUGUUCUGGAUUCUUUGCCUCAAGUAUGGGAAAGAGGGACUCACAUCUUUAACACAUUGUAAUGCUGCUAAUGCUGGCUUGGGGACCAUUCCUAUAUAAGCAGUGCUCAUCAAAGCACUGAAUAUAGAAUUUAUUCCCAUAGCUUUAGCAUGCCAGAGUGAGAGACGAGUGAGUAGGAGUCACAGUUUAUUUUACAUCUGGCUUGCUAUUCUACAGGAUUUCUUUGGCAUAUAUAAAGGACAUAAUAACCUAUGUCCAGCGUUUCAGAAAUUAAUGAGGCACAGUGCUCACAUUCAAGAAUCAAGCGAAGUCACAGUCUCUAUACAAUAGGUAAACAGUGUGGGCAGUUAGUGCUGGUUGCUGUAGAAACACAUGACAAGCACGUGUGGUUCCUUUUGUUUUGGGACUGGAAAUCAAGGUAUGUUAUUUGGGAGCAACAAUAUAAAAUGAGUUUUGGGCAUCAUGUGAGGUCUGCUACACUUGGGCAUAAUAUUAUAAGCACAAAAGAUGUGCAUUAAGGACUGAGUCAAAUGAAAUGAUAGUGCAAUUUAGAAAUGUUUUAAAGAUAGGUGAAUUUAGAACAUGUAACAUGAUGGUUAUACUCCUUCCCCUCUUGUAUUAAUAUCUCUUAAGUUUGCAGCCUUAAAAAUAAUGUUAGCUGAUUGUACAUCUUAUCUUGUGUGCACUAAGGAGGUAAAGGUCAGAUCUUCAACAUUUUAAAGAAAAUGAUUGUAUUUUAUUUAUGAAUAACUAAAUAAAUUAUGUAAAUACAUAUCUGGAAUAUUAUAGAAAUGUAUAAAGGAAUGAGUUUGUGCUCAAAGUACAAUGAGUGUAUAUGUAAGGAAUAAUGGAAGGAAUGCAUUUAUAAAUAUAUUUUGUGCACAUAUACGUGGAUAGGAUCUUUUUGGAAGUAGAUACAUGUACAUGCACAGACAUCCAUAAAAUAUAAUAACCUCUUAGUCUCAGCAGAAGUAAAUAGAAGAUGAGUUUGUUCUGGAAUUAAUUUAUUUCUUAUUAUUUAAAAGAAUGUUACUAUUUAGGCAUUAUUUACCUUAAACCUAUUUACUCCCCCAUUACAACUACUGCUGCAACUAUUAAAAUAGUUUAGAUUAGAGAUGAUUGCUAUGCAUAUAAAAUGGAUCUCAGGAAGGAGCAAUAGAUACAUCCUAGUGAAAUACUUGCAUGAUGAUUAAGGGUGCACAUAAAUUAGAGAUACUAUAUACUGAAGAGUGAAUACAGACCUGAAAAAGAUACAUUCUCUAGAUGUUUCCUGAAGUCACAGUGUACAUAUACAAGUUAUUACUGAACAUUGUACAUCCACACUAAUAAAUCUGAAAAUGUAAGACAAACCCAAAGAAGGGAAAAAAUUAGUUUUCAUGGUAUGGUGUGUAUACCAUGAGCUAUCUAGGUGUGAUUUUUAUUCUGUGAGGAUCUUUUUAUGCAUAGGAUGUGUUUUGGACAAAUCCGCUCCUUCACUCUCACACAAAACUCUCCUAUUGUCCUUGAGCUUUCUUCUCCCAACAUCAUGUACUCCUUUUGUAAGCCAAUAAAAUCCACUCAGUUCUUCCUCUAUGUGCCUGGGUGUGGGGACCAUCUUUUGGAGCACUGGGAACCUCAAAUGGGGCCCCAUCAAUGACUAAAACUGACUCUCCUCCUUUAGCAGCCUUCAGUUGCUAAUAGCUUCACAGCUAGGUGUCCUGAGGUUGUGAGACCUUCUGCCUCUCACACUGGGGUUAUGGCUUGAUCUUAUGCAGACCCUGUGCAUGAAUUCAAAGUUACUGUGACUUUCUAUGUGCAAAAGCCCUGAUAUUCCCAGUGACUGUUUUGCAGCAGUCACUCAUUUCUUCAGGCUCUUAAACUCUUUCUUCCCAUUCACUACAACGGUCUUUGAGUCUUGAUGGAUAUGUCACAUUUAGGGCUGAACAUCCUCCUGGCUUUUAUUUCCUGUAUCUUGACUAGUUGUGACUCUGUGUGUAUUGAUUGUCAUCUAUUGGAAAAAGAAGCUUCUCUGAUUCAGGUUGCUAAAUACACUAAAUACACUGGCCUAUGGGUAUGAAGACAGUAAUUGAGAGUGACAGUUUAUCUUGGCAAGUUUAGCAGAACAAUGGUGGAAAGUUCUAUACUAACUUGUGUGAGAUUAUCAGCCACUGGUGCUAGAUCCAAUUCUAGCAUUUGGUGUGAGCUGUGCCCUGUAGAACAGGCUUUAUAUUCAAUCAGAAAAGAGUGGUUUACGUUUCUCCCAAUCUUACACCAGUAAGCCUACCUUGCCAGGCCAUUGAUUAAUUACAGCUGGCAGAGUUCAGAGCAAGUGUUUAUUCUGCCGAGGAACAUGCAUUAACACCAUCCAGUGCUGAAAUGGCCAGUUGGAAGAUAGAGCUUCAAGCUUGGUAGCAUAUUGGUUUCCACCUGUUUCAGGUAUCUUGUAUCUUCAAUAAUAUUUUACCAUUAAGUUCCGGAAGGCAAACCAAAGCAAUAAAAUCAGCGUCUAUAGGACCCCACUGAUCAACAACGUAAAGAGGUUUAUCAUACAUGACAGUCUGAUUUCUAGUUGAUCUUUUGUAAUGUCAGGAAAAGACAUUGUCCCAGUACAGAGUAGCUCCAUUUAAAUUCUUUUUGAAUGUAUGUAUGCAUAUACAUAUAUACAUAUAUGCAUAUAUAUAUAUUCAAAGGAAACUUUUACCACGUAGGUUUUCAUAUAGCCUUUUCAAAGUCUAGAGUUAAUUAGACUGCCCUGUGCUCUGUCCUCCAUCCUGCCCUUCCAUGCCCUACUAAACAUCUCCAUCUCCAUCCAUUGUUUCCCUUUGCCAUUCAGAGCAUCCAUGUUCUACCCACAUGCUAACCCCAGCCCUUAAAACCGCUCUCCAUGGCCCCUUCCUAUUUUCCUGACUUCUAUGUCUUCAAUUUAAGCACACAUAUCUAAAGACUCCAAGUUCAGAUUCACACAGGAGCGAGUUUGUGCUUAAAAAACUGUUAAAUGGAUGAAUCUAGAGAGUAAAACUCUUGCUUUCAUAAAACUUUAAGUCUUAGGACUAUAUAUUAAAAAUUACAAGUAUUUUCUUCCUACCCUUUCAGAGAGUUACAAUGAGGCUUUAUUCCCUUCUGCUUUAUUUUGUGCAAAGAGGAGAUCCAUAGAAGCACACUGACACAUAGGUUUUUACAUACAUUUUACUGAAAUCAGCUGAAUAUUAGUAUAUAUUAGUCACACUGCUUGGGCAGUUUGCCAGUUAUGUUUCCUGUGACUGAGACAAAGCACCCUGACAAAUGCAAAUGAAAGGUUUGUUCUGGCUUAGAAUUUAAGCACACAGUGGGUUAGUGCAGGAGCUUGAGGCAGCCAGUCCCACUGUAGAGUAGUCAGGAAACAGAGAAAUGAAUGCUGAGUUUAGGAGGCUUCAUCCUUUUUAUAGCCCAAGCAAUGGUGUUACUCCCUCUACAUGUGAGUCUCCCACUUGAGAUAACCUAAACAAAUAAUCCCUUACUGGCUUCACCUGACCCUUAUCACCCACGUGAUUCUAGUUCCUGUCCAAUUGCUAAUCACCAUAGUCCAACUUACCCAGCAAGCAUUUCUCACUCUACUGUCUUAAAAGGAGCAGGAAUCUACAAGUGGGACAUGUCUGGAGAUCUGGUUACAGCAAUCUGUUCCUUUUCUCCUGUCCUCCUCUAUAGACUGGGUGAGGAGUGACAUUUCUCUCUCUCUCUCUCUCUCUCUCUCUCUCUCUCUCUCUCUCUCUUCCUCUCUCUCUCUCUCUCUUCCUCUCUCUCUCCCUCUCUCUCUCUCUCUCUCUCUUCCUCUCUCUCUCUAUGUCUCUCUCUCUCUCUCUCUCUCUCUCAAAAGUAAGUCGAGUAUUAGAGACUCAGAAAGUGUGGAGAUUAUUAAAUGGCAUGUCAGAGAAACAUGUGAGUAGCUUGUAAGUGGGCAUCGGCACAAACUCUGCCAUCGGCUGUUCCAACUCCCUUUCCAAUUUACUCAGAAACUUUGUGUUCCUCACCUUUAGAGCAGACAUCGUCUCCAUCUGCCUUCAUGUGUUGUCUUAAACUGUGUGCAAGGUGUCGUGCACGGUGUGUUCCUUUAAACCGUUGCUUAGCCCAGCUGAGUGUGUGCAUUUACAUGAAGCUUUAAGCGCGUUUAGAAGGUUGUAAUCCCCUGUCUUCCCACAACCUUUGCUCUCCAUGGGAAAGGGAGAACAGGAGUUUGCAGACAGGAAAAUCAGUGGUGCAGAUGGAGCACAGAAGUGCCUCACACUCAGUGUGGCAGAUGGUGGCACCUUAAUAGAUGUGAGUUUCCUUCCCUUCCGCCUCUGCUUACCCAAAAUGACUCUGAGACACUAAAGUUUCCAAAAAGUCUGGAUUCCCACACAGAAUUUGACUCAGGAUACACAUAUAUGAUUUAUGUGUGACUGUUGUCAGCAGAGGUAUGGGUGUCAAAGUGGAGAGAACUCAAAGGGCCAUUGUAAAUCAUUCAACUAAUAUUUGGUUACUUUGAACCUGACUCAUGCAGAUUCUUUUUAUCCGAAUUAUUGGAAUGCUUUCUCAUUAUAAAGACUUCAAUGGGGGGAGUGAAUUAAAAUACCCCAGGGCUUCCUAAAGGAGAUUGCUUGUAAAAAGUUAAUUGCUGUAUAAAAUAAAUGUUAGAAACAAAUAAAUAAAAUCUAGUUCAUUUGUCCUUUUCUUACUGUGUUACACCAUUUAUCUGGUAAAUCUAGAUGAUUCUUAUAGCUCUCGGCCUGGCAUUGGGUUCACUCUCUUUGUUUCUUCGUGUGCCAGAUGAGAGAAGCAGUGUUUAUCAAUUAAUCUUCUAAUUCAAACUGCUUGAUUUUAUACACAGCUAUCCAGAGCUCAUGGUCAAAAAUCCAGUAAAUUUGGUGGUACAGUGAUUGAUCUAAUUUUAUACACAUUCGGAUGCCUUGCUGAAGCCUAAUUAGAUGUGAUAUUUUCUGAAGCCUAAGAGAGUUAAGGUAGAUACCUACACUCUGGUUUCUACAAGUGAAGCAAUUCAGCACCUUGCAAAGAUCCUGUGGCAUAUAGGAUCUUAACUUUUAGCAUAGACAGCAAAUGUAAUUUAUCCUUUUGCCCAGUCACAAUGGAUUAUGAGGAGGGCUUAAUUAAUGUUUCUAGAGUGCUUUUUCUUUGCCUGCACAGGAAUACAAAGGGAAGAAUACAAGCAAACAUGUGUUCUCAUUCCCUGUGCUCUAAUGCAAUUCAGUACAGUUAAUUUAUUUCAUCACUUUCAUGAUCAGUCACAGGAAGUAUAGAUGGUGGUCUGCACACAUUACAUAUCCACGGCUUCAAGAACCAGGCCUUUGAUACAUAAAUAGACAACUGAAGAAAAUGUUCUGUAAGACUUGGUUUUGAGCCCCGGGCUCUGGUCUUAUUUCUGGAUGUGUAUGUUUCUCUGCCCAUGCCUAGAAGCUCCACUUUCUUCAGAGAACUGAAGAUAGGUUAAAUCACAGCAUAUUCCUGAAACUUGGGAAUUCAUAAGUCCAUCAAAGCAGGAUGGCCCAAACAUCACUAUCAACAGUUUCUCUAACGAGCCUGCACUUACAGAGAAGCUAAUUUCAAUCAAUCAUGGGAUUAACUUGUUUGGACUAUCUUGAAUCGUUCUCUCUCUUUUUUUUUUCCACUAAAAAUAGCCAGGUGUCAAGACCAUAUGGCCAUUACUGACAAAUAAUAAUAAAAAGUGUGAAAUGCUGCUUUCGGCAUGCUGUCUGUUUUUCUUCUCUCUGUUGAUCUUUUUCCAUUGGACUUCCGAUGCUAGAACUAGUUUCUUAAGGCAUUCAUUCCCAAGCAUUGCAGAAGUUUCUGGAUACUGGCAAGUUUCACAUAAUCAAGAGGAUUUUCUGUCUGCAAGCACAAAUACACACCAAAGUAUUACUGCCUAUUCUCCUUAAGUAUCACCCGCACUUUUUCAUUCUUUUUCUUGCCUAUGAAAGCCUAUUGGGCUGAAAUUAUAUUGAUUCUGUCAUCUCAGGAGUGGUUAUUAUCGUUUUCAGCAACCACCUCACAUUCUUGCUUUAACCAAAGAUUGCCAUUUUUCCUGGAUAUUGUUUUACUAUUUGGAAGCAAUGUAGGGAGGAAUGGUCAAAAAGAGUUGGUCGGCAGAUGUUAUUAUCUGGAUUAAUAAAAUAAAUGAAAAUAUAAAUUAAAAGUUCUCAGGCAACUGUGCUGUAGAAAACGAAAACCAAAUUGAUGCUCAUUUUUACUUCUGUCCUGUCUUUACGAGUUUAGUAGAGGAGGCUCUGUAGUCUUAGCCUGCCCAAUCCCAUUUUUAAGGUCGUUGUUGUUGUUUCUGUUGUUUUGGUAUUAGUAGCUCAUGAAACAGAUUGGGGGGGGGCUCCCUGUGGUGUGGUAUUGAGGAAGGUUUUAUGCUUUAAUUAGAAGAGUAUUUACAAUUAAAAUGCAAGGCUUGGUUUAAAGAGCACCUGCUUAAUCAAGGAUAGAAAAAGUCAUAGUAUUUUCAUGCUGCUGGUUGAACAGCUGACUGGAAUAUCGAUUCUGUGCACAGUUAUAUCUCUGUUCCUCUAAACUGCCCUUGUGAACUCUAUAGAUGUUAAAAGUUUUUGUUUCAAUACUCAGAAUUUCAGAGUACUUUCUACUUAGAUUGAAUAUGUAGUGUGUGUGUGUGUGUGUGUGUGUGUGUGUGUUAACAUCACUUCUCAUGUUGAAAUUCACAUUUAUCUUUAAAAAUAAUUUCUGACAGAUGCCAGAGUGAAGACUCACAAAGGGCCAAUGGUCACACUGACCUGGCUGUUCUGAGUGUGUCGUAAUGUGACAGUUUUGCUCCUUGAACAGCCUUGACCUCUGAGAAUAAACAUAAACAGAUUGUAGCCCUUGCUGGGAGUUCUAUGAAGCUCUAAGGGCUUAGGCCUUUUACUGAUGAUGUAAACCUCUGGAAUUUACUCACCUAGCCUUUUUCCGUCUGGAAAAGAUGAAAAGGUUAUUACAUACCUCACAGGGUUAUUGAGGGAAUUAAAUGAAGCAAUUGAUGUAAAAUGUCUAAAACACAGUUAACACUUAAUACAUGUAGCUAUUAGUAUUUUGUUUGCCUGCAUAAUAUAAACAGUCUAAGGAUGAGCAAGUUUCAGAUAUCGAGUGGCUUUUUGCCAAUCUGAAAUACCUUACUGACUGUAAUUGGGAAAAUGGUAGAUUCAUGUCUUUGAUGUUCUAUUGUAAUGAAAAAUGUGGCAGAGUAUGGGAGGAGUUAGAUCUCUAUUUGAAUUUGAGCUCUGGUAUAUGUUUGCCAAGCCUCAGUUUUCUCCCCUAACAAGUGAAAAUAAUAAAGCUUGUCCCUAAGGGGUAUUUUUUAAAAACAAUAACAAGAUGUCUCCAAAAUAUACAACGCAUAGUGAACAUUCAAUUCAUUGCAAAUCUGCUGGACAUUUUUUCUCUAACCACACGUAAUGAAUCAGCCCAGGCUAUAGAAGCUGCAAUGGUAACACUGUUCUUCUGUGCAAUACCUAGGAAUUCACAAAGAUGAACACGCUUGUGUGAAAGCUGAACAUGAGACAUCAAGCCCUACUUUUCUUCUUUAUUUAUUAUUAGUUUUUUUUUAAAUUUUGCUUUGCUGUUAAUAAGUUCCUGCACAAACAAGGAAUUUACUCUUCGACUGAGAUGUAGCUUGACCCCUGCACUUUUCAUCAUAAAAUUACUGUGGUGCAUACCAGACUAUCUGAGAUUGGCAUCUGAUACACAGACUACACAUGGGAUGGUUAGAAAACUGCACUAGAUCUCUAAAGACGUGUUGCCAAUGUUCUAAACCCCAGACAAAAGAACUCUGUGACUCUGGAAGUUUUCACAGGCCUCUGAGUGAUAGUACCCAGUAUUAAGCCAGAGCAUCUUGUUUGCCUCCUCCUAGGACUCCUACCCUGUCCUAUUUCAGCACAAAUACACACCACACAUCUGCUCUAGAUAAUCCUGGCUUGCUUUGAGUUAUAUUUCUCAUUAUUAUAAAAUGUUCCUGUAAUUUCAGCCAUUGUUUAAACAGCAUUUUAUUUCAGACCCGUAAAGCACAUAUUCUUUCUUUGUUGUUAUCUGUUUGUAUGCAACAGACCAUAUCCCCUUUCAUAGCUGUCUCAUAUAGAAUGAGUUAAAAUGUUUCUUAUCACCAUACCUGUAUAAUUAGAAGUCACUCAUUUUACAUGUUGCCCAGACUAUUAAAAUAUCAAAAGUAACUAAAGGUGAGUUGAGUUCCAUGGGGGAAAUUUUGGUUUCAACCUUAUUAUUUUUCUCCUCAGUGUUGACAGUCUUCAGUAACCUUAGAGAGUUUGUCUGAGAAUCUCCUGUUCCAGUCCCUCAUGUAAAAUGGCCUGACAUUUGCUUAUCAGUUAUUUCAUCAUCUGACAUUAAAUGAGCUGUAGCCUACUUAGGAUGUCUAACAAGACAUAAACGCUGAACCAAUCACUUUUAUAUUGUAUCUAUUAAGGAAUACGGGCAACAAAAUUUCUGCAUAGUUUCAGUGCACAUAAUAUUUUUUCUGAAUUAUUUUUAUCUGUGAUUGGAUGGAUCCAUGCAUGUGAAAGCAUAGAUAUGAAAGGCCUUGAUGUACUUCCUUAUCAGUUAGUGCUUUGUCCAGAAGAGUGAGACUACUUACUCUAUGUUAAGCAACACCGAUUACUUGAAGAGAUAUUAAAGACAUUCAAAUAUUAAGUAAUCGUGAGAAAACAUGCUGAAAAUCACAGCAUGUCUGGGGUUCCUGUAUCUGUAUUCUUUUCUACAAUAAACAAAUCCAGGACCUUAGCUGAGUCUGUCUCAAGGAUCUUAGAUUUCACUGUCCAAUCAAACAUUCUGAGAAGAUUCAAAUGCUCUACACACACAUUUAAGAUAGCGCCGACCAGUAUGUGUUAUAAAUGGUUGAAUUGAUCACACAACUGAAUAACUGAAGAGUUAAUUGUAUUUUACUUUUAAUUUGUAUAAAUUUAAUCAGACACAUAUAGUUAAUGACCACAGUCAGUAGAGUUUACAUUUUGUCAUGGCCUUUGCAGAGAACUAUUAAAUUCUCAAGUAUGUAAAGAGAGUCAGUCUUUGCAUUUAGUAAGUAGUUAGCAUAAAUUGUAGAGUCACUGCAAUUAAGAAAAGAUCAUCAUCCGGGAAGGGGAAUAACAAUCGAAAUGUAAAUAAGAAAUACUCAAGUUAAUAAAGAUGGAAAAAAAAGAAAGACAAAAAAGAAAAGAUCAACAUUCUUGGAGAAGCAAACAAUAUGUAAAUACUUAGGUCUAGCAUGCAUCAGGUCUCAAAGUUCUGUAGUACUGACCAACUUCCUAAGAAGACAGCACAUUCUAAAUAAAAUAGAAUUAAAACUAUAUUUUGUCUUUUUUUUUUCCGGAGCUGAGGACCAAACCCAGGGCCUUGCGCUUGCUAGGCAAGUGCUCUACCACUGAGCUAAAUCCCCAACCCCGAAUUAAAAACAUAAAUACACAAAAGAUUCAUAUAAGCAGGCAUUUCCAUGUAGAUAAGUAAUGAAAGAAUAAUCAAUAAAUGAGGGAGAGAGUAGGCAGUUACUAUCUUGAUGAAAAUAAUUAAAACCCAAUUCUAUAUCACAAUCAAAAGGAGAAACAAUCAAAUGAAUAAAAGCUAUUAGCAUAAGAAGUGCAAGUUUUGUAAGGCAAGCAAAGAAUAUCCUCAUGUAUCUUGUAUGGUAAACACAAAUGAUAAAUGUAUGUUUUUUUAUCUGAUUGAUUAUUCCAAUUGCUUACUGCAGUUGAUUAUGCCAAGUGCUCCUUUUGACUGUUAUACUUUAAUCAUAAACUGAUAUGUUCAAUGCAUAUUUACAUGUAAAAAAUGUCAAGAUGAAAACAAAUAUAGAAGAACAACGGGAAACGUUUUGAGAGCAUUCAACUUGCUUUAUAAACUGUGGUCAAUGUAUUUAGAGUCGUGUGGUAUUUCAUUAGGGAUAGUCACUCUGCUUGCUGUACAAAAGCAGCACCAGGACAAGUUAUUCCUACUUAGCGUCAGCUCUGACCUAGUUGGCCAGCCUUCUAUCAUGCCAGUUAAAAGAACAGCACUCAAUUAUUCUGAUGGACAGGACAUUUGAGGUGGUAGGUAUACUUAAACAGCGUGAUUGGAUGGUUUUAUAAUGCAUACAUGUUUCUUACUAUUGCGUCUUGACCAUAAACAUGAACAAUUUUCAAGGGAACAAGAAAAUAAAAAUUUAAAAAGAAUGAACAAAUGUGUGCACUUCACCGGCUGUACUGGAUCUCUGUGGUCACUGGUAAUCUAUCAUGUCUGCUAAUUUGUUUUGGUUUUAUUUAUUUAUCUAUUGACACCCAAAAAUCUGCUUCUGUUCCCUCCCUCACAGAGGACCUCUCCCCCUCGCAUUCCCCUUCUCUUUGAGAUAAUGCUCCCCCUCCUGGGUGUUCCCCUACCCUGGCACAUCAAAUCUUUGCCAGAUUAGGUACAUCCUCUCCCACAGAGGCCAGACAAGGCAGCCAUGGAGACUCAAUUGCAUGUCUGCAACAAAUAUACCAGGAGUAUCCUUCUUGCCCUUGUGUGUUUUUUGUGUGGUGUCUCAGGUUCUGAGGACUCCCAGGGUUCUAGGUUAUUUGUCUCUGUUGGUCUUCCUCUGGUGUUCCCUUCCCCUUCAGGGUCUUCAAUCCUUCCUUCAAGUCUUCUGCAAGUAUCCCCAACCUCCACUCAAUAUUUAGAUGUGAGUCUCUGCAUCUGUUUCAGUCGGCUGCUGGCUAGAGCCUCUCAGAGGACAGCGAUGCUAGGCUCCUGUCUGCAAGUAUAACAGACUAUCAUUAAUAAUGUCAGGGACUGGUGCUUGCCAAUGGGAUGGGUUUUGAGUUGGGCUAUUUAUUGUUUGGCAAUUCCGUCAGUCUCUGCUCCUUUCCUGCAUUUCUUUUAGACAGGGCAAAUUUGGGGUUAAAAGUUUGUGAAUGGGUUGGUGUCCUUAUCCCUUCAUUUGGGGAUCCUGCCUGGCUAUAAGAGGUGACUUCUUCAAGUUCCAAAUUCCCAUUGUUAGAGUCUUUGGCUAAGGUCACUUGUAGAGACCUCCUUGAGUCAUCCCCAUCAUCUCCUAAUGAUCCCACCCAAACUCCUACCCACUGAAGCUACAGAUUUCCAUUCAUUCUCCAGGCCCUCUACAACUCUCUCCUGUCUCUCUCCACACUUGAUCCUACCUCUCCAUUCCCCUGACCCUACUUUCCUCACCCCCGUUCCCUACUUGUCACUUCCUUCUGUGAUUAUUUUGUUUCCCGUUACUAAGUAGGUUUCAAGAAUCCUCACUUGGGCCUUCCCUCUUGUUUAACUUCUUUGGAUCUGUGGAGCGCAUCAUGGGUAUUCUGUACUUUAUGGUUAAUAUGCACUUAUCAGUGAGUAUGUACCAUACAUGUUCUUUUGGGACCAUGUUACCACACUCAGGAUGAUAUUUUCUUGUUCUGUCCAUUUGCCUGCAAAACUCAUGAUAUACCUGAUUUUAACGGCUAAAUAGUAUUCCAUUGUGUAAGUGAACCAUGUUUUCUGUAUACAUUCUUUGGUUGAGGGACAUCUGAGUUGUUUCUAGUUUCUAAGUAUUAAAAAUAGACCAGCUGCUGUGAACAUAAUGGAACACAUGUCCUUGUAGCUUUGUCCCAGGAGUGGUAUUGCUAGGUCUUCUGUAGAAUUAUUUCCAAUUUUCUGAGAAACUAGCAGACUGAGUUCCAGAGUGGGAGAGUGGGAAUGUAAGCUUGUACCAGCAAUGAGGACUGCUCCCCUUUCUCCAUAUCCUUUCCUGCAUGUGUUUGUUUGGUGAAAGGUGUAAGUUCAGGGGUUACUUCGAUUUGCAUUUCCCUGAGAUCUAAGUAUGUUAAACGUUUCUUUAAGUACUUCUCAGCCAUUCAACUCUGUUGAGAAUUCUCUGUUUUUCUUUGUAUUCCCCUUUUCAGUGGGGUUAUUUAAUUUUUUGGAGUCUGAUUUUUUUUUUUAGUUCUUUAUAUAUUUUGGAUAUUAGUCCUCUGUCAGGUGUAGAGCUAGCUCAGAUAUUUUCCCAAUCUGUAGGGGAGCUGUUUUGUCCUGUUGACAGUGUCCUUUGAUUUACGGAAGCUUGUCCUUUGAUUUAUGGAAGCUUUUCAGUUUCAUGAGGUCCCAUUUCGCAACUGUUGAUUUUAGGCCUAAGCCAUGGUGUUCUGUUCUUUUGGUUUCUCUUCUGGUUUCAUCUGUAUUAAUGCUUUCAAGAAUCUUUCUCACUCUCAGUUCUAUUAGAUUUAAUGGGUUUAGUAUUAUGCUGAGGCCCCUGAUCCACUUUAACUUGAGUUUUGUGCAAGACAAUAAAAACGAAUGCACAACACACCCAAUGCUUAUAGGGUACAAUAAAGCAGAGCUAAGAGGAAAGUUCAUAUCACUAAAUAUCUUUAUAAAGAAACUGAAGAGAUUUCUUCUUUUUGUUUUGUUUUUGUUUUUUUUAUUUUUUACCAUUUUAUUGGAUAUUUUCUUUAUUUACAUUUCAAAUACUGUCCCCCUUCCCCAUGUCCCCUCUCGAAAACCCUAUAACAUCCCCCCCACCCCCUGCCUCCAUGAGGGUGCGCCUCUACCCAGCUACCCACUCCCUCCAGCCUACCUACCCUGGCAUUCCCCUGUACUGGGUCAUUGAGCUUUGACAGGACCAAGGGCCUCUCCUCCCAUUGAUGCCCAAUAAGGCCAUCCUCUGUUUCAUAUAUGACUGGAACCAAGGGUCCCUCCAUGUGUAUUCUUUGGUUGGUGGUUUAGUCCCCAGGAGCUCUACGGGGUCUGGUUGGUUGGUAUUGUUGCUCUUUUUAUGGGGCUGCAAACCCCUUCAGCUACUUCAGUCCUUUUUCUAACUCUUCCAUUGGGGCCCCCAUGCUCAGUCCCAUGGUUAGCUGCAAGCAUCCUCAUCAGUAUCAGUAAGGGUUCACAUACUAGCAAUUUAGCAGUACAGAACCUGAAAAGUGUAGAACAAAAAGAAGCAAGCACACCUAAGAGGAGUAAGGUAGGUAAUAGUUAAAUUCAGGGCUUAAAUCAAUCAACUAGAAACAAGGGGAACAGUACAAAGUAUCAACAGAACCAAGAGCUGGGUCUUUGAGAAAACCAACAAGAUCAUAAGCACUUAGCUAGGCUACUAAAAGGCACAGAAACAGUACCCAAAUUUACACCACCAGAAUGAAAAGGGAGACAAAGCAACAGAAACUAGGGAAAUUAAAAAAAAUCAUUGGGCAUAAUUCUUUAAUGGGACAGAUUCAAGGACUCUGGUACUUUUUCUGGAAGCUCAAUUCUUUUUUUUUUUUUAAUGAAACACUGAAUCACUAAAGCAUAGCCCAUAUUGACAGACGCAUUUCUGAAAAUGGGAAUCCCAUGUGACUUCAGAGAUCUAGAUAUGGACUUGGCUGUUUUAGAGCAUUUAACAUACUGUGAAUAACAUCUUUAUAUGAACUCAAAGAAGAGAGUAUUAGGACUCAUCCUUUCUCAGAGACUUAGAGCAUCUUGCCUAAUAUUUCGAGCUCCUUAGAUAUCUUUCUUAGUUAUUACACCAUUUAUGUUUCAGCCAUGGUAAUUUAACUAACCAACUACUACUGUACAUUUACCUCAUGAAUCAAUGUAAGACGUAGAUCAACAUAUUUAUCCUUAAGCAUCUUAUUAGAGCAUCCAUUGUUCUAAAAUGUGAAGGCACAGUAACAAGUAAAAGCAAAGCAAGAGGAAGAUAAUGCCUCUCAUUACUGAAACCCAGAUUCAUCUGCUGACAAGAGAAAGCCGCGAAAGAAAGGUGGGUAUGCACAGAGAAAGCACAGGGAAGGCCAGAAAUAUUUUUUACUAAUUAAAAAAAAUCUUAUUAAGAAGACUUUUCAGUUUCUGAUUCCAAAUUAUUAUCUGACUUGUUUUCAUUUAUUAAUCUACUUUUCAACUCAAUUCCUAGAUUCUCACUUAUGUCCAUGUUUACCCUUAUUCUCAGGUUACCACAUCUGUCUGUAGUAGUUCCUCAUUUCCUUUUUUAUUACCAACACAGAUGCACGCAAAAAAUACUUUUUUCCUAAAUUCUGCUAAAAAAUACAUAAAAUUUUAAUAGCUCCUUGCUCCCCACCCAGUGAUCAAAGGAGUUGGUCUGUGUUCUUGUAAUUUUAAAGGUAAGACUCUCCAGUGUUCUUGAGAAUUAGAAAUCACAUCUCUUCAUGAGAGAAUGAGAAAACAGCUACACAAGAGACAUAUCAUUAUAUCUUGAAAGAGGAUGCAGCUAAGACUUAUCUAUACCUCACCGGUACCAUAGUAACUGGCAGGAAUUGGACAGUAAAUAGACUUCUAGAACUUUCAUCAAUGACUAAAUGUCACCUCAUCUGUGGUCAGCUUAACAUAUUUUAUGAAAUGAUUUCAUCCACUGUUACAGAAGUGGUCAGUUGUAUCUUUCAAAAUCUAGGUUAGUUAUAAUGAAAAAGAAACACAGCCAUAGCUGUCCAAAAUAUUGCCUGGCUGCAAAGAUUCAGUUCAUACAAAAGUGUUUUUCCCUCUUGUUUUCUUCUGAUUGAUUUACUGAGUCUGUGCAGAAUUCUGUAUUUUUGAGGAUGCUUAGUUAAUCCUGGCCCAGGGAGAUCAAGUGCCUUAGUCAAUUAGCCAUGUCUGUUUUGUGCAUAUGAUGGUGGAGGCGGGGCAUGCAUACAAAGUAUUGGUUGACCUUUAUCUAGAAUUGAUGGGCUCUGCAAGUAAAUGUAAUCAAUGAGAAAAGUUUAAGUCAAUGACAAAUCCUAUCUGGAACCAGACAUGGCUCGUGUUUCUCAAGUUCACUUUCAUUCCCUAUGUCCUUCUGUCCACAAGGAAUACAUAGAACACUUACUUCAAUUCUAAUUGUCCCAUCCAAGCCUUAUCUUUAAUAUCUGAAAUGUCAGUAUCUGAGAUUUAAUACAGUGUCUACCUCACUGAAGACAUGUUUGCUAGUGUCCCCUGGUUUCUGAUUCAUGCUUUGCGUAGAGAUUCUUUAUUUUUCUCUGCUGUUUUUCAAAUCUAGAAGACAAUCGCUUUUCAAAAGUUUAAGAGAAAUUAAAAUAGCUUACAAUAGCCUAGAAAUGUAGAAAAUAGCUCACUUCAUGAACAAAUAUUUGCCUGCAGAUGUCCACAGACUCAAACAGAGAUUAAAACAUAAAGAUUGACAAGACAGCGGUGAACAGGCAUUCAGGCAAAAGCAGUAUGCAUGUUUCAGCUCCAUAUACAUAGGAAGCAAUGUCUUCUUUGUUACAAGCAUAGCAAGCUAGUAGUAGUCCUUUCUAGAUGGUACUAAAGAGGGACAAUCUAGUGGAAAGAGCAAGGACUCUUUACUAAAAAUAGCUGAAUUUGGAUCACAUUUGAAGGGCACGAACUUUUGUAUGAGACAUGAGAUCUCAGCAUGUCAGUUUCUUGAUCUGUUGAAUGGGGAGCAAUUUAUAGAAGGUACCAUGUAGAGCAAUUGUUUAGCCCAACAGCAAAGUCUACUUCUCUUAAGCUUAAGAACCCGUGUAGAGCUGUGUCUUGCAUCAUUUUGUCCAUGAACAGAUGUGCAUGCUUUUGCACGCAUGUGUGUGCACACGCACACACACACACAACCACACACACAUCCUACAUGUCAUAUAAGCAUAAACAUAAAGCUCACAAACAAAAAGUCUAACAGUGUUACCACAGCCACUUCCUGAAAAUAGAAUGAUGGCAGUCACAGAACUAUCAGUGAGAAUUUUCUUCAGCAUGUACAGUCAGGGAUGGAUGUCUAGUCUGUUCUAUCAAUAGGGAAAAAUAAGAUAGGUUUAGCAAAACUAUAUUCCUAUGUGUAUAUAACCACUAGUAUAUACAAUGCAAACAAAAUAUUUCUGUCUGGUUAGGCCAAUAUGCUCACUGAAAUUCUUGUAUAUCCUUCUAUGUUACAUAAAGGUUUUCAUAGCAGAGCAGAAGAAAAUAUUGAUAUAUGCUGAUAGUAUGGAUUUCUUGCCAAAAGACAGAAGGGUUGUAAGUUUAUAGAUUUUGGACUUAACUGAGCAUGAAUAUAGAUGAUAUAAGCUAUCUUACAGGCUGGACACACUCUAUAUCUCUUUUUGUUGCCAUGACAAUGAAGAUAAAAAUAAGUAUAAUAACUCGGCGUAACAACCACUUAAGUGGAUUUGGUCCUGGUGCUUACUCAUAGUAGGCGUGCGGUGUGCUUUUCAAUAACCUUAAAGACCCUUUGUUGUAUGGCUGUAAAAGAAUCACACAGCGUUGGUAACAGGCAUGUGUGGUCUGAAGAAGUCUUCUUUUUCACAUUUUGAUUUCCAUAUUGAAGAAACUUGCCCUGGUUCAUUCACUUCACCUGUCAGAAUGUCUCAUGGCGAUCCAUGGGCAUUUUUCCUAAACUGUAUCAUUGAAUUUUGGACCCAGAAAAUGUUUGCUUAUAAAUAUGACAUUUUUAGCGGCUGGAGGGAUGACUCUACUUCUUGUUCAGAGAUUUGAAUUUGGAUCUCAGUUUUUGUUUUGAACAAGUCACAAACAACUGUGUCUCUGCUAGUAAUGUGCACAUAAACAGCAUGUACACACAAACACACUGAUAUGUUUAAAAAUAAAAGUAAAGGGUUAAUGUCACUAUCUGAUCAGUUUUGUUUUCCCAUAACUGAAGAUACACAGGUCAAAAUAAAUCAUUUUGACAGUUUUCCACUGUGGUUUUUGAAGACACACAUCUUUGUAAAAAUUGCUGAGGAAAAAAAUAAUCUUUGGAGAAAUAUAAAGUAUUUUUUGUUUAUCACAGGACCUUUUCCUCUGUGAUUUUCAAGGUUUGUCAUGCAGAAUCCCCGACUUCUGCUUUCCCACAGUGUGUAUUCAGACAUUAGUGUGCAUUUAUUGUGUUUCAGAUAUGACCUGAAACUAAAGAUUCAGACAAAAGUGUUUUCCCUGCCUUAAGGACCUACCAUUCCAUUAUCUCCCUGUUAAUACAGGAUCAGGAAAUGAGUACAAACUCAGGACAGAAGUAGAGAAACUGUCCUCAACUCUAUAAGAGUGAAACUUUAUGCUUCCUUAAAUUUCAUUGCUAUGUAUUCUUUCUUACCACUCUGAUUCUUUUAUGACUCAAGUUUAGCUUAUGAGUAUGAAUACUUGCCUGCAUCUGUCUGUGCCCCAUGUGCAUGCAGCACCCUCAAGGACCAGAAGAUGAGUCUUUUGAUACUCUUGAAAUUGCACACUGUUGUUAGCUGCCACUGUACCUAUGUCGUCUGCAAGGGCAGCUAAUGAACUUAAUUGUGGAGCCACUUGGCUACUCACCCCAUCCCACCCUCCCCUGCCUCCAGUUCUUGAUUCCUUUGUCAUUCCCAAACAUAUUGGCGGUCUGUGACAUUUGGAAUUCUGGAAACUGAUAUUUGUAUUGCAUGUCUGCAUUCCAGAUUGUUCUUUUAAAAGCACAGUUAAUGCCAGACAAAGCUCACUAUUCAAAGGGAAUAGGAAAUAGCCUCUUCUUGACCAUACAUGCGUGAUUGUAGUUUCAGAAUACUGGGAUUCAUGUUGUCUUAAACAACAUUUCAAUGUGAAAACAGUUUCAUAAGGCCUUGGCUGUUACAGAAAAACAUAACAAGGCAUGUUUUUGGGGAUAUUGGUAGAAACAUCAGGUAGGUAGGUCACAGAAAAUCCAGGACAUGUCUACUAUAGGUGUCAGAUGCUAAGUGAUGAUGUUUUUAGCUUCUAAUUAAGUUAAGUUGGUACAUUCUAAACACUUCUCCAAUUUUCAGAGGAAUGCCAGGCCAGAUAUAAAGGUGAACCAAAAUUAACGAUUAAGUGGCCCAAUUUAGGUCAUAAUAGCUUGGGUCUUGAGAUUGAGCAAUCUCUUUAUUGUCACAGAGGUUUUAUCUGUAAGUCUGCCUUGAAGAGUCUCUAAUGUAAGCAAGGCUUUUCCCCGUACCCAUGGGGAUAUCACUUAACCACAUUGAUUCAGAGUUUUGAAGUUGUAUUUAAAUAGUUUACUGUUCUUGCUUCAGGUGAAAAUAACAAGUGACCAUGGAUAUUAUUUGAUUGCUCCUAAGAGUCAUACAGGUGGUCAUACACAUUUGACUUGGAUUUGAACCUCGGGUCUCUUUGUAUGUCUCUUAUGCUGUUUAUCUCUACCACUGUGUUUUUCAGUUUAACCACUGCCACAUCAUAAGCUAUUAUUCACAAAACUGUGCCUCUAAGAAGUUUGAUGAUAGAAAUUAUUAAAUACUUUCAGAAAUAUGCCCACAGAAAAAUAAGCACAAGUUUUCAGAAGGUUAACAGAAUGGUGGGAAAGUCUGAACCAGAGCUCCAACACCUCCUCUUACUGGCUUGGCUAAUGAAAGCCUGAUCUUGGAUUUAAAUAGAACUAAUAUAACUACAGUAUUCUCUCUGGGAAAAUCCCAGACAAUCUGGUUCAUCCUUAGGGAGGACAGUGUAGAAAAGUGCUGCCUUUAUUUACAUGUUGAAGUAGACCACUUAGUCCUUGGCUUCACUUAAGGUCUGUGCAGGACUACAGGAAUCAGUGAAGUUGCCUUAUACACAUGAAGUUAAUGGUAGACAGAUCGUGUUUGCCAAAUAUUCUUACAUUCCAUGUAACUAACCAUGACCUUAAGUCAAUCAGCUUACCAGAGACAUCAUUUCUCAUUUUAAAACCAAAAGGAACAUCUUUACAGAAAAGCUUCAUAUAUGCAGAGCCAGAUCAUUUUUACUAUUUUAAAUACUAUGUGGAUUAAUUAAUUGGUGAUUACCUCAUAUAUUAUUUCAUUUAUUUAUAGUGCUUCCAUUUGCUACAUUGGCCAUGCUAUUAAAACUAACAAAUGCCAAAGAUUGAUAAAAAUUGUUUCUACUGAAUUAUUUGCCUUCUUUUUAAAAAAAAAGUAUGUGUGUUUGUAUGAAGUUUGUGUAUGUAUGGUUUUUAUAUAUGUACAUGUAUGGAUGUUAAAAAGGCUGAUCAUGUGUACAGAGGCUGAAAUUCAAUUUUGACUGUGUUCCUCCAUUGGUUUCCUCUUUAUUUGUUUAUAUUUUUGAAGCAGAGGAUCUCAGUGAACCUGGAUCUCAGAGUCAGCUUGCCUGGAUGGGUAGUAAGCUCUAGACACCUGCCUUUCUCUGCAUUACCAAGAAUGGUGGGACAGGUGUGCAUCGUCGUACCCAGAAUCUAUGUGGGUUCUUGGGAUGGACUCGGGAUCCCAUGUUUGUGCAAUUGACUGAACUAUCUCCUCAGAAGCAUCACCGUCGUUCAUAUUUUUAAUGUCCCUUAUUUCCACUAUUUGUGCUUCUUGAAAAUCAUCUGCUCUAUGGCAAUCCUAAAUUUUCUGUUAUGAUUCUUUUUUUUAAUGUAUAAAAUUAUUUAUUGUCAAUAAAUUUUUAUUUAAGUGGUUGGUUUGAUUUCUUUGCUGUCCAUCCAGGCACUCUGAAAAUAGCCCUUUCUCAAGGGCAUCCAGUUGUGCUUUUUAGCCCUGCAUAAUAAGAACAUGGGAGUAAUGGGAUGAGUAGUCAGUAUUCUAGAACCAUCUACAUAUAAAGUAACAACUGGAUAAAGAUUUGCUCAAAAAAUGUUCCCAACAGGUUAAGUGCUACUCAAGUAGCAUAUGGAAAACCUAAUGGGAAUUUGUUAUGAUUCUUAUACUUAAAGAUCUAUCACUAUGCAGAGACAUUAAGCACAGAGGUUGACUAGGUGUUGGGUUGUGCUUGGACUUAGCGCCAUUAUUCCAUGCCUGGUGAUAUAUGCCUUAAUGGUAUGGGUUUUCUACUUUGGAAUGCUAGUGUCAAAAUGCUGCUUCACCCAACUCUUGAUGGGAAGACUUUUUGUGCCCCUCCCCCACCUUCUUCACUGUUUUGUGUCCUCCCUCUCCCCCUCGUUCCUUCAUAAGGCCAUCACAUAAUCUUGAUGACCUAAAUGAAGACAAAAAAAGAUUUAUGGUUCCUGCAGUUUGUCUUCUGAUGCUCUGAGAAUAAAAUGAAAUUCCAUGUACCAAACUGACACAGACUUCACAUCUUUUAUUAUUUUUCAGGUCAAACAAGUCUUACUUCUUAUAACGGGAGUCAUCCUACCAGCACUUAUUCGUUCCUCUUAAGGUCAUGUCAGGAAGAAUCAGAGAAUUAUUGUCAACACAUUCAGUAUAAAAAUAUAAAACCUUUCUUUUUCUGGGACCAAAAUUAUUCCUUAUGCUCUUAUCAGAGUCAAUGUGCUGAUGGGGUAUUGAGGACAAGAGAUUUGGAAACAUUGUGUGCACUUUAUCUUCUGCACAAACAGAUGGCAUCAGAUGGAGUCUGCUUGCUCCCAAUUCAGAUUUGCUGUUUAUUGACAUCCUUGAUGUUGUACCUUCUAGGAUUACUGACCACAGAGUGAUACCACUUAAGACACUAGAACAAUCCUGUGCAUUGGUAUCUUUUUCCGAACGUCUACAGUUUAAACACUGAACAUAUGUACAGUUUUCUUUCUUUUGAGUCUGCCCACAGGCUUCACAAAGCCUGUGCUACCAACGAUAAUCCUGCCAACUAAUAUUCCAAAUGGUUCGGUUUUUUUUCAGAACCAGUUGUCUUUAAUUACAUAGUAUGUAUCACUACUCUCCUCUCUCAAAUAAUUUAUACUUCUCUCAUGCAAUACAUCCCAACUACAGCUUCCCCUCCCUCCAUUCCUUCCAGUUCCCCCAAAUUCCACUGUCCCCAAGACCCAUCCCUCUUAUUUCCCCCCAGAAAAGAGAAGGCCUCCCAGGAACAUCAGCUGAGCAUGGAGUAACAAUAUAACGUAAGAACAGGUGUAGACCCUCACAGCAAGGCUGGGCAAAACAACCCAAUACUUGGAAACUGGUCCAAAAGGCAGUCAAAAGUAUCAGACACAGAGACAUAUCCAUUGCCACUGCCCAGAGUCCCUCCAAAACAGCAAGCUAACAGCCAUAAAAUAUUUGCAAGUGACCAAGUGCAGAUCCAUGCAGGACUUGCAUUUGCCAUUUUAGUCUCUGUGAGACUCCGUGAGUUCUGUUUAGUUGAUCUGUUAGGUGUGGUUGGUCAAUUGCCAGGCUUGUCAGAAUGAGGCAGUGUUGUUCUUUUUUUUUCUCUUUUCUUUUUCUUUUUUCAUCUUUAUUAACUUGAGUAUUUCUUAUUUACAUUUCAAUUGUUAUCCCCCUUCCCCAGUUUCCAGGCCAACAUCCCCCUAACCCCUUCCCCUCCCCUUCUAUAUGGGUGUUUCCCUCCCCAUCCUCUGCCCCCAUUACCGCCCUCCCCCCAACAAUCACAUUCACUGGGGGUUCAGUCUUGGCAGGACCAAGGGCUUCCCCUUCCACUGGUGCUCUUACUAGGAUAUUCAUUGCUACCUAUGAGGUUGGAGCCCAGGGUCAGUCCAUAUAUAGUCUUUGGUAGUGGCUUAGGCCCUGGAAGCUCUGGUUGGUUGCAGUAUUGUUCUUAAGCCAAAACCCUCAUCACUGAUAAUUGUUGAUGCCUAAAUCCAUUCUCAUGUGAAACUAGCCAUCCUCAAAUAAGCUGCCAUAUAUAUAUAUAUAUAUAUAUAUAUAUAUAUGCUCAUCUAUUAUAUGUUUCUAGUAGCAUAGCAUCAAGUUACUAUAAAGACGUUCCCUUUGGAUCUAUUAGUACCUGUGUUGGUCAUGAGAAAUAAGGGAGGAAUAUGAUCUAAGAGCCAUGUCACAGAUUUGAAGUGACAUUAGUAAAGAAGGAAUUAUCAAUGAUGUGCAUGCUUGGAAAAGUGUUAACAAAGACAGAUUGCUUCAGCAUCAACUAAAACUUCAACAGUUAUAUAUUGGGCUGCAGAUGGAGAAGUUGUGGAGAGUCUUAUUCUAGAUCAUGGUCAGCAUAUUACGCUUCUGUGUUGAUCUAUUCUAAUGAUACAGUGUUUAUAAAUGGGAUUCCAGGUAUCUUAGUACCCCGUGGAUGCUUCUUCAUUGCUAUGCAUGAAUCAUUACAGAUUCACCAAACCUGUGCUGUGAAUGAAGAACGCUAGGCAUCCAUACAAUUUCCACGUUGAGGUCUGUAAAUAACGUUCUUUUUAUGUGCGCCUUGCUAGUGUAAGACAAUCUGAGUGAUUUCCGUGGGGCGUGGGGAGGGCAGCUUACCAAGUUGGACUCACCUGUGUUGGAAAUAUCUCAUGUAGCCUUGAGACAUCUCUGUAUAUUUAUCUUAAUGUGUCUUUCCUUCUUUUUUUCUUUUUCCCCCAUUAACUGAAAGGAGACGAUUACGUGGACUUUUUCUUCUGAAAAACUUGAAUAUAUAAUAGAUUAUGUCCCUGCAGGUUUAUGUCUUCAUUCAAAUUAAAAAAAUAUGAACAACUGGAACUAUGUUCAGCUGACACUCAUACAUUUCUGUGAUAAAAAGGUUUGAUGUCUCUACUUAUAUACUUAUAGUUCAAUUACAUUACCAUUGUUCUUGAACAGUCUACAAGGAAUCGGGCUCAAUUAAAUAUGUGCACCAGUGCACUUGUGCAUGCACGUGCGCACACAAGCGCGCGCGCGCGCACACACACACACACACACACACACACACACACACACACACACACACGCACAAGUGAGCAUGAUCCCAGAAAAAAAUAAGACAAGUAUUCUUACUAAAAGAGGAUGGUGUACAUACAUAUUUUAUAGCUUCAGAACCAAUCUUAAUGACAUCCUUUUCAUAGACUUGCAAUUAAUAAGAGUAUAUAUACUGUCUCACCCGAAGCCCACUGGACUGUAAAAAUAGAGUUUUUUGCAUAAUACUUCUCAGGUACUGAACAAGUGAUCAUCUUUUUUAUUCUGUUUUACCUUGUUCCUUUUGUUUCUUUCUUAAUAUGUAGAUUAAUCUUUCCAGUUCCUGUUACUGUGCUUUUCUAUCUUUUAUACUUUAUUGAUGUAUAAUUGAAUAAAUAGAAUUGUAUGCAUUUAAGAUGUAUAAUAUUGUGUUUUACUGUACAGUGCUUAUCUCUGCUGUACAUUCCACUUGUCUGUGUCUUUGGUUGUAUCCUUCACUGUCUGUUUAUGUGCACAGACUUUGUCUUAAUUUGUUUGCUUGGUUUUAGCUUUCUGCUUUUUAUUUGUUCCUGUCUCAUAUAUUACACCAUGACUACCAUUUUUAUUCCCCUCUCGAAAGCCUCUCCCUACCCACCUUCCAUUUCCCCAGAUCCACCUGUUUCCACUUUCCUUCUGAAAAGAACAAGCCUUCCAGGGACAUCAACCAAACAGGGUAUAAAAAGCUACCACUGUAAGAAAGGCACACAUUCUCACAUCAAAGCAACCCUGUGGGAAGAAAGGGGUCUCAAACACAGAUGAGUCAGAGACAGCCUCAGCUCCCGUUGUCAGGGUCCCCACAAGAACUAAGCUACACUAAUAUAACAUUCAUGUAGAAGACAACAUCAGACCUAGACAGGUUCCCCAAUCUCUCUAAGGAGCCUUGAGUCGUCACCAAUUGAUUUUGUUGGCUGGGUUCUUGUGCUGUCCUUGACCCUCUGGCUCCUCUAUUCCUACCUCCUGCUCCUCCUCAGGACUCUCUGAGCUCUGUCUAACAUUUAGUUGUAAGAUUUUGUAUCCGUUCCCAUUAGCUGCUGGAAGAAAUCUCUGUUGGAUCUCUGAGGACUACUAUGCUAUGCUCUGCUCCCAACACAUCCAGCAAGCAGUAGGCUGAGUAUUUUUUGCUGGCUUAGUGUUCCAAUCCUUCUUAGGGCUUGACUGAUUACAAAAGAUGGGCAGUUAAGGCUCCAUGUCCUCAAUUAACAUGAAUCGACAUCAAGUCUAGAGAGAGAGGUAUGUGUCCAAAUUUAUGUGUCUCUUUAUAGCUUUUUAAAAUAUUCUUUGGCUAUUUUAUGAAUUUAGAUUCCAAAUUUUAUCUCCUUUUCCUCUUCUCCCAUAUCCCUCCCCUUCACCCUGCUUCUGUGACCAUGCUCCCAUUCCCACCCACACACUUCCACCUCAAGGCCCUGGCAUUCCCCUACAUUGGGGAAAUGAGCCUGCACAGCACCAAGGACAUUUCCUCCUAUUGAUGCUGGGCAAUGCCAUCCUCUGCUACAUAUAUUGCUGGAGUCAUGGGUCCCUCCGUGUGUACUCAUUGGUUGGUGAUUUAGUGCCCGGGAGCUAUGGUGGGGUCUGGUUGGUUGAUGCUGUUGUUCUUCCUUGGGUGUUGCAACCCCCUUCAGCUCCUUCCAUCUUUUAACUCCUUCACUGGGGUCCCCUUGUUCAGUAAAAUGGUUCAGCAUCCUCAUCUGGAUCAGUAGGGCUCUGGAAAAGCUUCUCAGGGGACACCCAUAUCUGGCUCCUUUCAGCAAGCACUUCUUGGCGUCAGCAAUAGUGACUGGGUUUGGUGGCUGCAUAUGGGAUGGAUUCCCCAGGUGGGACUCUUAAAAAUGUCAUGUCUCCACCUAGAAGUCCAACUCAGUACACUGAACUGAGAUUGCUCUUGUGUAAUUAUAGAUAAAUGUGCUGUUGUUGUUUUAUGGACUUGGGCCGUAGUUUAUCAUAUUAUAUCUUUUAAUAGAGAGGGGAGACAGAAUUCGGAAAGAGCAGUUAGCACAGUGGCCUCGAAAUCACUGAUAACUAAGGUUGGUCUGAAACUUCUGAUCCUUUUAUGCAUAGAUUCCAAGAUCUGGGAUAAUAGUGUCCACCAACUUACCUAGUUUAUAUGGUAGUCUCUUCUGGUCCCAGUGACUGGUAUACUGGGCAGGAAGUCGAGUAAAUGAGCUCUAGUCCCAGACCCAAGUGAAGGCUUUCUUACUCUCUCUCUGCACAUAUGCACUGCGGUAUGGAGUUACUAAGUUGGUCACUUCACACCUAUUUCUAAGAUGAAGGAGUGUUUUCUACAAAGUGGGCCAAUGCCCGAGUCCAGUUCUCAUAUCAGAGUCUGCUGGGAGAGCUGCCCUGACAGGUUGUGACUACAUACACGCUAUUGCUCUUAAAGAACAUGAUAGUUAAGAGUAUCAUAAACGAGAUUUUGCAUAUUAUACCACUGUUGUUACGAUCGACAUAAAGUGUAGCUAGGCAUGGGAUCUUUAAGUAAUGUCUUCACCAACAAGAGUUUAUCUUCACCUCUAUACAUAGAACAAUGGCUGUAAUUAUAUUACCAGCUGACACCCAGUACCUUAAAAUGGCACCUGAGUUAUUUAGUUAGUAAUUUAUCUUCAUGGUGAAUAUUCUCAUAUAGAUUUUACAACAAAAUAGUCAAUCUAUUCAGGGCACUGCCAGAUGAUUUAAAAAAAAAAGACAAUAUGGUUCCACAAUUAAAAAUAGUAUUUGAUGCCAUACCCAUUUUUCAGUGAUGCACAUAAUUAUGGAAAUUGAACAAAAGCACCCAGAUAAGAAGCACCAGGCAUAGGAGUCUAACCAGUACCUCCAGAGGCAGGCCUUGUGUUAUGAAAUCUGUGUUUCUGAUUCUAAAUCUGUGCUUUAUCCUGCCAUGGCCUACAGAUGGAAAUCCAUUUUAACAUUUCAAAGCCUCCAGGGAAGAAACACUCUCCCCAGGAAUCCAUUCAGUGAUGGGUCUCCCAUCUGAGACAACCGUUUGAAGUGCUUUUCCUGUGUUUGUGUCUGGUUGUGUUCCACAAGUUCUAAGACCCUUCCUUUCCUGUCAGAAGCCUGUCUGCACUUCAUGCCACUCAAUCUCCUUAGAGCAGGUCUAUUUCCAGCCAUUUGUAUCACUAUUGAAGAACUUUUGUGGGCAAAGGCUUAAAGCAUUUGAACAAAUUCACCUUUCCUUUUAUUUCUCUUUAAUUAUAUAACUGCUUGGAAUGGUUUUUUCUCUUCUGAAUGCCUCUUUACGUGCUUGUGAAUAUGUACAUUUUGUCUUCAAAUGAGUGUAUAUCAAGACUCUUGAACUCUGAGUACUCUUUCUAAUCUUUUUUCCUGGGAAAAGUACUCAGUGUAUAAUAUACAGAAGGUGAUUGUCUCUCUGUCUCUGUCUCUGUCUCUCUGUCUCUCUGUCUCUCUGUCUCUCUGUCUCUCUCUUUCUCUCUCUCUCUCUCUCUCUCACACACACACACACACACACACCUCCUUUUAUUUUUUUUCAUUUUCAGCAGAGAUCUUGUUUUAGAUGAGCAACCUGCACCCUGUCAGGCUUCACGCAGCUUUCUCAAGCAGCACAAAAGGGAAGGAACUAAUGGUAGCUGAUGCCAGUGAUGGGCAAACACCCUCCUGCUGCUCAGAACUGAAGUCUGAGUGAGAGCAGUGGGGGCUUGGGCCAAGGCUGGCAGAAGCAGGUUUUUAACAGCAUGAAUUUAUGAAUCCGGUCAAUGCAAAUGAGCAUUUAUUAUGCUUGGAGAUGGGGAAAAGAUGCCUCAUUUAUUAAGUUAAGCUGCAGAAAUCUGAAACUCUAUUCAGAGAGUGCUAAACAACAGAUUUCACAGAGAAACGUAGGCUUUGCUUUCACUGACCCCCACUUAUAUUUUUUUCUGCACUGUUUGUUAGGCAAAGUGCUGUUAAAAAAGUAGGACCAGUGAGUAGCAGGGCUGCGCAGAGGUGAAAGAGAACUCCAUCACCUGUUGGGAGAUAAUCUUUAUUUUCUUCAGAAUGACUUAAGUCCUGACUAUGGUCAAUAAGAGUGGUAAAGAAAAACAUGCUGGCCCUGAGAGAAACAGAGCAAAUAGAAAGAAGGGGAUUUAUAGACAUAUAAACAGUUUCCUUACUCCUUCAAGUAUUUUCUGAAUGAUUUUUAUAUAGCUAAUACAUCUAUUUUAUGUGUACAUACACCACCCCUCACACACAUAUAUGCCUCCCACAUACCUCAAUCUAUUAGAUGUUACUAGAGCAAUUAGCUGUUGGGUUUGGGCAUUAGUAGAGGAUGAUUCAGAAAUGUGCAUUUCCAAUAUAAGUUAUGCUAAAGAACCACUGCGAGUAAUAAGGAUUAGACUAUGUUGCGUUCCACUUUCUAAUCCUUGGACUGCUCGUGUUUUGGUUAAAGAACGACUAGCCUUAAAGUAAUGGUCUCUAUUUAAAUCCAACUGUGCUACGAGUAAUAUGAAUAUUUUAACCCCAGCAUGAGGUUUCUCACUUGGUUACUAAUUAUCAGUUUUAAAAUGUUGGAAAGAAGUCAAGUGAUAUUGGAAAGAAGGAGGUUAGUAAAGAAGCCUGCACAGUAUUUGGAGUUUAGCCACCGUGGGAGAUACCUUGGCACUGUUACCUUUAGUAGUCAGCAUAUAAUGAUGCUACUUCUCUAUCCUAUGACUAAGGAUCCUCUACAAGUAAAUGUAUCUCCUUCUGUGUCCAUGGUUGCUUAGGUUAACUGAGGAAAUGUUGAAUUUACAGAGGCUAGGCCAGAGCUUUACAAGGGGUGAUUGGAUUUGAAAGCUGCUCUAUGUCUGCAAAUUAACAAUAAAGCAUUAAUUGUUCCUAUAUUCUGGAGGAUCACUGAUUGGGUUUUCUUGAUUUUGAUGAUCUAGCUCAAUGUUUCCUUAGAGUAGCAGAAAUUCCAUGCUGGUAAAUUCUCAACUGAAUAUGUAAAUGUCUAACACUUGUGUCUGUUCCUGAAUAACCAAAGAAGGAUGGCUAGUAAAGAAGACUUUUACUGCCCAUGCUCCCAGAUCCUCCCUCUUCUCCUUUUUCAUUACUAAAUUGUAUCAGUAGACAAGUUGGUUUACAGGGACCUUAGUACUCUCUCAUUCUUUAUAAAAGAAUCAUAGGCAUAUAUUGGCCAAUGUGCUGUUUUCUAUCCUGUUUUUAAUAGUAACAUUUUCUUUAAAAUGGUUUUGUCUAAUAGAGCCUUUUGUGGUACAAAUCAGUGUAUUAAAUAAUAAUACUAAGUCUUCCAAGCAUGGAUUUUCAUGCUAGGAAGCCGAUUUUACUAACCCUUUAACAGUGCCAUGUAUUUGUUCAAGCCCAUAGGUGUUACUAGAAUAAUUAGCUCUUGGAUUCAGGUGUAAACAGAAGGAUAAUUAAGAAAUAUGCAUUCUCAAUACAUACUAAACUAAAGAGUCACAGCAAAUGAAAAGAAUUAGCAUAUGUUAUGGCCCAUUUUCUGGAAAGUACCUGCUUGCAAAUGACAAUACCUACUUAGAAAUGUGCGGUUGCAUUGUUCCCUAAAGUACAGUAAUGCCACCUUCUUCCUUGUCAGCAUGGUUUACCAGUGAGGCAAUUAGGUGCUAGGUGAUUUUUCUGUUUGUUUUAUCACUCGCUUUUAUUCUUUUCCUUUGCUUUAUUUAGACUUGUGUGUUUGGCAACAGGAAGAAGAGUUUCUUUCUGAAGCAUCGAGCUAUGUGAGCUCAAUUUCAAUUACUUUUAGCUUCUGGGAGUCAUCGCUUAUUUAAAAAAAAUGGGAGGCAAAUACCAGAAUCUUGAGACCUUUCAUUAUGAGCUGUUAGAGACAGAUGGAGGUCAUUUACUGAUCUUCAUAUAUCUCUGGGUGUAGAUACAAUCUUGUCCCUUAGGAGAAAGUGAUUUGCUUAGGGAUUGACCUCCUCUACAGGAUAGUAGACACAUUCAUAAAUUAAAUAUCAGAAUGAGAAUUUGACUUAGAGGGCAAGAACAAGGUCAUAAGAGAAAGUAGCAAGUGGCCAAUGGAAGUCUACCUACUUUAGAUGAUGUCACCAUGAAUAGACCAAAUUUAGCAUUGUAUUAGGCAUGGUCAUGGUGCUGCUCAGUGUAGGGCAUGUCCACUGGGUUCAUUCUUACUAAUAAAUAAACAGAGGAGUUGAGAUAGGGAAAAAUAUAAUUCAGUCAGCAGAAAACAGCAUGAAGCAAUGGCCUUGAGGUAGUCAAAGGUAAGCAUGACUUCGGAGUAUAUAAAAUAUAAAAGACUACUUGGUAGUGUAUAGACAAUGCAAGGUUCAGGAAACUAAUUUAAAAAGUCAUAUUUGAUAUUUAUGGACAAGAAAGCAAACUUAAGUAUUUUCAACGAAGAUAUGUGUUCUAACUCACACUGAAAAAAGAUGUCUAUGAUCCACAGAACAUCUAGGUAAGAAAAUGGUUGCCAAUUGGUCCAUACAUCCCCUAAAGGACUCAGGAUAGUUGAGCAGGCUAGAGAAAGGUGACUGAAGCAUUCUUUGUGUAUUUCAGGGCAGACGGAGACACAAGGUCACUGCUCAGCCAAGGACUAUGAUAGGACUGUAGCUAAAUAUCUGUGUCUCUAGCUUGUGUGUGUGCUUAUAAAUAGAUAAUAGUUAAAGAAUAUUAUAGAUUGAAAUGCCAAAGGGCUUAAUUGUGAUAGUACUGGCUACUUUGGCGCCAUGAAGAUAAGAAGAAGAGAAAAGCUCUACACAGCUUAAAAGUAGAUUUCUAAGCAUCCUUUUGCAUCUGAUCCUCAAUUAAAGAAACAACAACAAUGAAUUAAUAUGACGGCUGUAUUAUUUUUCUCAGAUAUUCAGGAACCAUGGAGUUUGAAAGAAACACUUUAGAAAUGUGGAAGCUUCUCAUGUCCCAAGGCAUUUCUACUUCUCUUCUCUUUCAGUUUUUAUCACAAUGGAGAACAGAAAGUCCCAGCUCAUUGUUGGUCUUUAGUGUGUGUUAAAAGAGAGAUUAGAGCAUCCCUGGGCCCGAGGCUGCUUCUCUUUUUCAGAGAGCUUUUGGCUGACAACUGCAUCUGCACAGAAUUUAAUGACAUUGCUUUGUUUUCAUCAAACUCAUAUUUAGGAUUGCACUUCCUUAUGGUACAGAGCACAAUUUCUCUCUUUUCCAUGGCAAUACAAAAUUCCCUUCUGACAUACAUUUGAGCAAAAAGACAAUUUAAAGGCAAAUGUACAAAGGAAAUAGGUGAUAUGGAUAUUCGCAAAUUGUACUAAAGAGCAUUCGGAUUCUUUGUGUAAAUUGAUAGGUGUGGUGAUAUAAAGGGAACCAGAAGAAAGAUGUGGUCAGGGCCAGGUCCCUGACUGUAUCCCUUCAAACACUGCUGGUCUUGCUUUGCUUUUCUUGUUGCUUGCUAUAGCAACUAUCAGAUUUACGAAGUAAGUGAAUAUAUAGUAAAAGAAAGCCUUGAUUUUACUUGUCUAAAUUCAAAAGAAGAGGCGAGGCAGGGAAAGAAGUAUUAAUGUCUCUUUUUUUUUUUCAAACUUUUGUGUUUGUGUUUUGUUUCACACUGAAGUGUUUAGAUUUGUUUAUUUGUUUAUUUAAUAUUUGAGAGUGCUUUUAAUGCAUAUGUAGGUGUGUGUACCAAAUGACUGCCUAUGCCCACACGUGGAUUCUGGAAACCAUACGCUGGUCUUCUGAAGGAGCAGUAAGAGCUUAUACACACUGAUGUACCUCUGCUGCCCUUCUUUAAGGCAUUCUGUACUCUAUUUGGACCAUAAUGUGGCAUAUGAUUGUUAUGAAUGGCUUGGAUAUACAAGGUCUCAAAAGUAGGCUUGGUGUCCAGAUGGUGAGCUUUUGAUAAGCUAUCAGAUGUAAAGUGUUAAGAAUAUGACCCUGUUAAUAGACCAAACUACGGACUGAUUAAUGAGUUGAUGAUGUUACUGAGAAGAGGUAGAAAGUAAGUGGUCCCAAAUGUUUUCUUGGGCAUGAUUUAGAAGGACAUGUUUUUCCUUAGCCCCUUUCCUAUCUCUUUGAUUCAUUUCUUCUCUGACAAUAGCAGCUCUCUUCCACCAAGCCCUCCGUCCUGAUGUUUCUGUAUCAUCGAAGGAAUACCGGCAACGAAACCAAAUCACCACAUACUGAACUUCUGAAAUCAUGGUCCACAAAUACCUGUUUGUUCUGAGCUCUUUGUUCAGGUAUUCUGCCACAGUCACAAAAAGUGACUGGCCCACCAUUACGAGAAAAGCCAAAGAGACAGAGAUCCAACAGAAUUGCUGCUUUUCAAAGUAAACUGGCUGAAAAACAGGCCAAUGAGUCCUCAUAAAUGUGUUUUGCUUAUUUUAUUUCUAUAAACAUAAAACAAAUGUCGUAAGGCAUACUCCUAUGGAUAUAUUUAUGCACAGAGUAUCUGGAGAAGUGCAUAUGGAUUAGGUAUUGAUGACUGCUUCAGACCAAGUAGUGACUCUCAACAGCGAAAGGCUUGGUUUAUUUUCAUAUAAUUGCGCACAGCUUUUCAUUCUACCAUGUUGUAUUUUACUUUAAGUAAAAAGAGUAGAAGGGAUGGUGCAUACUUUCCUGUGGAAGGAAAGAAAUUGCACCAGAUUUUAGUUAAGGCCCAUAAUAUACAGCAACACUCAUUGCUCCAGGAAAGUAGCCUGAGGCAUGCUUCUGGAAGAGGUUCUCUACGUAGUCCUUACAGCAAGGGUAAUGUGAUGAAGUGAUGGCAUCAGGAAAUGCCCAGUAUGUUCAUCACAGUGACAUUUCUUUCAAUGCUUCUUUCACGACUCUCUGCAAAGAGAGUCCAUGAUUCCAAAGACAAUUUUAAACCUACUUAAAUGGAAACAAAUGGAAUUAGUAUUUGUAUUGGUUUUCAGAUUUCAAUUAAUUUAGUAAGAUUUUUUUUUACCUUUGCCUAAUACUGUUUUAGGUAGAGACAUGGAGGCAAUGCUAACUAUCACUAUUUAUAAAAUACAUUUAUUCAUUUAUUUGUGUGUGUGUGUGUGUGUGUGUGUGUGUGUGUGUGUGUGUGUGUGUGUGUGUGCCAUCAUCCACAUAUUGAGGUCAGAGAACAACUCGUAACAGUUGAUUCCCUCCUGUUUUCAUGGGAGACUGAGGGAUUCAAAUCAUGUAGUUAGCACUGGUGGCCAAUUUCCUUUCCUCCAAGCUAUCCCAGUCCUCUGCUACUAUUUUUAAUUUGAAACAAGUAAUGGUAUAAUAGGUGAGAACAUACUUAGAAAAGUGGGAAACUUUAGUGGUCCUCAGGUCAGGGUUAGGGGAGUUAGAGCUGGAAACAAUAUUUCCUAGAGUUACUAUGAAAGCAAAGCCUUGAGAAGCCCUCACUGAAGUGUGAACAGGAUGGACAGGAUGGAGGAAGAGACCAAAACUCUGAAUUUUAGAAUGAAUGAUACGACAGCCUAUAAUAUUGAGAAAGCGAUACAGUACACUUUACUGAAUGCCUAUAAUAUGACAAGCUCGUUUGUCACAGUCAGAAUUCAUAUUUAAUAGGAAAUGGUCUUAAACCACAGGGACUUAGAUUCUAGAAACCCUUUUUUGGCUUCUUUAAUGCGGCAGAGAAUAGGUAGAGGAAGAACAAAGCAGAACCUCAUAAGCCACAGAAAGGGACUUACCCAAGAGGUAUGUGACAAUGAUACACAGCCAUGGAAUUUUAGUGGGAUAGCGAUGUGACCCAGUUCAUGCUUUCAAAGAGAUCGUUCCCUGUGAGUGUGACCCUAGCAAAGUCUUCUAGUAAGGGGGCAUACAGAGCUUGAGUUGGUCAUCUUCUAUAUAAGCAAGGCUCCAAGUGGUGGGACUGGGACAUCAGAAACCCAUGCCCAAACACUCGGAGUAGCUAGAGAAAAUGCAGAAGCUGGGGGCAUUGUGGGAGGCAGAGUAGUUGAGGGCACCAUGGGAUACACUGAAUAGCAUGGUCCACAGAAUCAAGCAGGGUUCACUUCGCUCAUAGAGACUGAAGCAACAAACAAGGACCCUUUAUUGCUCUGACCUUGGUACGCUGCAUUUUUAUUUUGAAUGUGUAGUUUGAUGUACCAGUGGGAUUCAUAAUGGUGAAAGUAGAGUGUGUCUCUGACUCUUCUGCCUCAGCUUAGGAUCAUCUUUUCUCCUACUGGGUUGACUUGACCAACCUUGACUCCCUUGAGGGAGUGUGCCUAGUUUUAUUGUAACUUGUUAUGCUGUGUUGGGCUGAUAUCUCUGCCUUUUGUUUGUUUGUUUGUUUGUUUGUUUGUUUGUUUGAGUGUUUGAUUAAAGUAAAACAGAGAGGGAGUAAAUCUGGAGAAGAGGGAAGGUCGGAGAUACUGGGAGGAGGACAGGGAUGGAAAACUGUGGUUGGAACAUACAUAAUGUAUCAGACAAGAAUAAAAAAAUAAAUAUAUCAUUUCAUCUUUGUUGCAGGGAAGAAAAUCUAAACACAGAUAGAGAAGUAGAGAGUUUCCUCUGAUUUUCUUGCAGCUUUCAUGUUAGAACUUUAAGGAAUUCCAAUUUUCAAAGAUGCAGAUGUAAAACAAAGAAGGGGUGAGGUAAACAGUAUUGAAGCUAGGGGUCUGGUGCUACAGAAAUACGCCACCUGAAUACAGCCAGUGUGCAUUAAGGGAAAACCCAGCCAUCCCUUGAUGCUGGAAGAGGCAGGUGAGAAGGAAAAUACAGGAAAACAAAUGUGACAACUGAACAGAAAAUAAAGCAGCUCUGAAUUAGACGUGACUUGACUGUUCAGUUGAUCGUUUAUAUUUUGAAUUAGUCUGUAUAGUUUUGAGUAGUAGGUGAUGGGUCACCAUACCCUGCUGCUCUACACAGAAAACCAUUUCAGUCUUUUUCCCCACUUGAUCAUUUUCACGACUUUGUUUCAUAAACAAAUGACAAAGUAUAGGGUUUAGAGUUAUGAUCCCAGGUUCUAUCUGAAUAGGGCAGGCACAUGUGCAGGGCAUCUAAGCAGCCCAUACAUUUCUUCAACCUGGAAGGGUGCUAUGCUUUGUCACCUACUGUGUUGUCACUUUCUUGAGAUGAUGCUUGGUUAUUUUUUAAGUGAAGCCCAGUAUCAUGUUAUAGUAUCCGUGUAGGCAGAAGUAGAGGGUGAAGGCAAGGGGCAUCCUUGUAAUUUGAUCCCUUAACUGACAUGCUUUCCCUAAUUUCCUUCCCAUUAUAAUUCUGUACAACUGAUGUAGCUAGACUUGCCCCCUUGCGUGUGGCUAAAUAAAAUAGCAAUCAUUGGAGUCACUUGCUUCGUCUUUGUGGUAUUAUUCCACAGACAGGCGUUGGACAGAAACACAUAAUUCAGAGGCAUGGUGGAAAACGGUGCUCGAAGCUGAAAGAAAGUUGACGCAAUAGUUUGGAGCCCUUGCUGUGGUGUCAGGAGAAUGCAAGCAUCUAAACAGCAAAGGUGUCCAUCAAAUCUUCAUAAUGCAAGCUUGUGGGGAUGUGAUUCCAUUUCUCAGCCUGUUUAUGCAAAUGCAUGUGUACCUACCCACACAUGAGCAAUCCUCAUCCCUCAUCCCCACCACACACACACACACCACACACACCACACACCACACACACCACACACCACACACACCACACACCACACACACACCACACACACACCACACACACACACACACACACACACACACCACACACACACCACAUACACACCACACACACACCACACACACACACACAAACACACACACCACACACACACCACACACACACCACACACACACACACAAACCCACACACCACACACACACCACACACACACACAAACACACACACCACACACACACCACACACACACACCACCCACACACACACACACCACACACACACCACACACACACACCACCCACACACACACAAACCCACACACCACACACACACACACCACACACACACACACACACCACACACACACCACACACACACACCACACACACACACAAACCCACACACCACACACACGCCACACACACACCACACACACACCACACAUACACACACACACACACACACACACACACACACACACACACACACACACACAAGAGAUCUUUUUUUGAACAAAAGGAAAGAACAUGAAGUUGGAUCAGUACAUAGUUGUAGAUGGGGUUGAAUCUGAGAGGAGCUGGAGAAAGGAGAUGAACAUGAUCCACGUAAAUCCUAUGAAAAUUUCAAAUAAUUAAUGAACAUAAUCUGUGAGAAAAGUUGCAUUUUAGGAAAGUGUGCAAAUUGUGUUUAUUUCUAAUGAAAAUAUCUGGAGUUGACCAAGUGAGAAAGAGACUUCGGGCAGAAGGAACUAACACAUGUGAAUGUGAGAAAUUACGGAGAAGCUGUGUGCCUGAGGAUUUCAGUUGUAGUUAUGGUCAUUGUUCUGGGAAUGCCUGAGGGUUAAGGUGACUGUGAUGAAAGUGGCAAGAAAUAGCCAGGGUCAGGAUAGGCUGGUGCCUGCUGUGCCACAUUCUUAAGUGGGGAAGCAAAGUGUCUGAAUAUUGCUGUGCCUAAUCUUUCGUCCACAAUCGUGGAGGAUUUAAGGACAGUGACAAUAGUAAUUAACGGAUAGUAUUUGAAUCUGUACAAAAUCAUUCAGGGGCAUCAUUUACUUCAUGAAGUAAAUGAAGUAUUGGGAAUAUUAUUAGUUGUCAUUAUUAAUAUGGAACAUUCACAAUGGAUUUGGGACUAGAAUCUGUUGUCCCCAGACAGGUGGAGAUGAAGUAGAAAACAGAUUUGGAAUUCAUCAUCUGGGGGUUUAACCAUCAUUGUAGUUCGUCUGUUUAUAGUGCGCUAGAUGAACAGCGCUGGAAAGAAAGGGGCUCUUACAAAUUAUGAAUCAUUGCUGUAAAUUGCAAGGAUGAUAGAAUUGCACGUGUUUUUGUCAUGGAUGAAGCUACAUAUUGACACAACUCUGUUUUGCCCAUUUGAUUUUCCUCACACCACCAGACACUUAGGGAUAAAUUCAACUUUCUAAUAGAUCUAGUAACUCUCGUGGCUUCAAGCUUACAUGCAUGCUUUUCUUUCAAUUGGAGCACUUCCAAGCAUUCUUUUAUUUAACUCACUUUCUGAGGAUUAACUUAAGCUAUCAGCUGCCUUGGGAGUUUUCUCUGCCUCUUGGAGACUGGAUUGCUUUUCUUUUUCCAGGCUUCCUUGAAGCCCUGUGCUUUCAAAGCUCUGCUUAUCUGUGUGUUCCCAUACUCGUCCUUCUAUCCUGUAAGAGCUAGCCCCCUUAGUGUUUGUACGUCCACAUGUGAGUACAGAAGCAGUGUCAUAGGUUUGCUUUAGGAGGCCAGGAGUUAAUGUCCAGCAUCUUUUGUUAUUACUUUGUACCUUAUCUUUUGAGACUAGACCUCUUGCUGAAUUUUCAAUGUACCAUUGGUUACAAUUGGCUGACCAGCUUUCUCUGGAGAUCCAUCUGUCACUGAAUUCCCUGAACCACCACGCGAACUAAUGCUACAGAUGUGCACAACCAUAUCAGGAUUUAAUAUGGACUCUAAGAAGCCCCAUUCAUUUCCUCAGGCUUGCAUGACAGGCACUUUACUGACUUAGUUAUUUCUCAGCCCUAAAACAGCAGAUUCUUGAGGCACACGUUGUUCCUUUUUUGUCAUACUAUCCCUAGUCCUUAAUAUCAAACUACAAUGCACUAAUGCAUACAUAUAGUACAUUAUAAAAUUAUAAAAUAUUUUAUUAUAUCUGUUCCAAUAUCAAUUACUCAAUGAGCUUACCUUUCUAAUAAAGCCUAUCUAGCCUUGAAUAUUAUUCGAGUGACUUAUUCUAAGGUGCACACUGUGGUAGCUUCUUGGGUUAAAUGAUAAGGAGCUGAUGGAGAAGCAAAGGGACUACAGGAGAGGAAAUGACUUGCAUUAUGAUGAUCAGCACAGUUUGCCUCUGAAGCUUUAACCUCAAGAGUAAGAAACCAGUCACUUCAAGAUCCCUGGGAAAACCAUUUCAUGCAUAGAGAGCAGAGAAGGUCCAAAGGACCAAGCUGUGUUAAGAGCACGUGAUAAGGCAGAAUACCUGUGCAUCCCAAACGCGAUGCGUAUGCCUGUGGGAGUGUGCUUGUCUACCUACACUUGGGCUUUGUUACUCACCUGGCUGGGUGCUUUCCUUUCCACCCUCAAAUCUUACUCUCUCCUUUUUUGUACCUGAGCUGAAUGGCUACUUAAAUAGUUUGUAGUCUGUUGAAGUCUACAUUAACUGGUGUUCUGUUACAAAAACAGUGAGGCUGACAGAGAAGAAGGGUUUCCAAUGUGUUCCUUUUAAACUACACUUAGCUGCAGCUUGUGGCUCUUAAAUCGACAUUCUUUUUGGCUUCCUUGAAAGGAACAAUCAGAUGACUGUAGGUGGUCCUUCUUAGACAGUUGAAGCUUUAUUCUUAGACAAAUACUGCCAGGAUAUGCUUUGAUUGCUGAGCAUGCUAAAUUGUUUCAAGGUAGGCUCUCUUUCUUUAUCUCUCUCUCUCUCUCUCUCUCUCUCUCUCUCUUUGUGUGUUUGUGUGUGUGUGUGUGUGUGUGUGUGUGUGUAUGUGUCUAAGCAUAAAGAAAGGACUAUCAACUUUGAUCUCUUGAGCCCUGAUUGUAUAAUUAAGAAUCAACUGGACAAAACCUAAUUUAGGAUAUAUAACCACUUUCAUUCACCUAAAAGAAUGCUUUGUCACACAAUAUUGCAUUAACACCUAAUCUAUUUAGAAAUUCAGCUAGAAAUAGUAAAUCACUCAAAUCCAUCUAAUGUUCUCAAUGGGGCAUGUAUUUUGUAUUAAACACAAGCAUUGAACACUUCAUAUUUCUUUCUAUGAAAAAUGACCUAACAUGGGCUGUUUUGACCACAAGAAAAAUGAAAGUGGGUCAGAGACAAUGCAGCUAAUCAAGUGAUAUCAGCUUGAAGGACCCUACAGUGCCCCUGACUGAAGUGAUUCCUGACCACCUCUGUGGGUUCAGGGAGAUCCAAACCAAUACCGAUGAAAACAAGAGUGAAACCGGAAUGCCGUGCUGACGACUGAGUUUUUUAUGUAGCUUUUUAUAUCCUCCCCUUUCUGUUUUCUACUGAAGAAGCAAAGGAACUUCUUGCCAAGGAAGUACAAACUUGCUAAGCGGCAUCAUGAAAGUGCUAUUCAGGGACUUGGUAUUUUUACUGUAAAAAUAGAUACUGUUUUAUGCUUAUGCAAACUAGGUUUACUUUGCCCUCAUAAAAUAGAAUUUGUAUUACCUUGCUUCUGUUGUUUGGAAAUUAGAUAACAUUAAGGAAUAUAAUAAAACACAAUGUGCAUUUACUUCUAUCCCCCUUUUAUGGAGACGGAUUUUAUUGGUGUCUAUGGUUAUUUGAGUCAAUUGCAGACAUUUUCUUUAAGCUCACUUUUAAGAUUUUUGCCACGUGAGUCUGUUGCUAUUGCAGGGAUUCUCUUGUCUGAUUUAAAGCAAACCACAAAAAUAUCUAUUCUCUUAUGAAAUUAAUACUUUCAGGGAAUGGGAUCGGAAUAACUCUUAUUAGGACAGUGGCUCUCAAUCUUCCUAAUGCUGUGAACCUUUAAUAUAGUUCCUUAUAUCGCAAUGACCCCCAAACAUAAAAUUAUUUUCUUGUUACUCCAUAACUGUGAUUUUGCUACUCUUAUAAAGUAUAAUGUGAACAUCUGAUAUAUGAUCUCCCAAAGGUUAAGAAACAAUUAUUUAAACAUAGAGGUUUAUUUACACAUAGUUAAAGGAAAUGUAUAUGUGUGUUGUAAUUGAGCAAACUACUGGUCAGAUGCUAGUUUGUAUAAAUCAUAUGUAAAUAAUUAAAGAAUGUUAAACAUUUAAAUAUUUUAUAGUUCUCAAAUACUAGUGCAUAAACCUUAAUACACUAGCUACAAUUAUUCUUUUAAAGUUGUUUUGUUUUAUUUUGGUGUCUCAGCGGUGGCUUAUUCUUGGGUGUGUGUACACCCGGAGCUUCUCAUUUCCCAACCAGGCAGGAGGUCCAGCAAUCCCCAGAGAUCCAUUUAGUUCUGCCCCUGAGGUUGCCGUUGUUCCUUCAGCCACCCAUGCCUGCUUUGAUAUGAGUGGUGGGGACAGAAACUCAGGGCCCCAUGCUUAAAAAGUAGCUACUCUAACGCGUAGAACCAUUUCUCCAACCACACUCAAUGACUUCAGCCCUUUGGAAUAGACCUUCUGCGUAUCUCAGGACACUCCCUCUCAUGUGGCAGCUGUGACACCAGGAUGAGCCACCAGUGAACAUUUCCUAAUCUGGCUCUUGUGUUCAAACCCUUGCCAGAACCUGAGCCCAGUAGAUCCUUAUUCUCAGGAGGCCAGCGGGACUCAUUGUUUGUCUUUAUGAGGGGCAGACAUGAAGUGGAGUUGACUGGGUUUCUCUACCGAAGCUUCCAUCUUGCUUUAUUUUCCUAUUCAAAUACACUGACGGUUUUGUGCGACCACUAAUGGCGCUAAAGAGACCCCUGCUACUAGUGACAAAUUAAAACAAAUGUGAUACAGUAGAUUAAGGCUGUCUUCAUGAGAUAAAAAUUAAAACCAAUUUACGUCACACAAUAUCAGUAUUUUGCAGUAGAGAGCAGCAUGGUCAUUAGGCGGAAGUCAAUUUCUUAUGGACUUCUAGGUCUAGAGCAUAUUUGUAUAAUUCCUUUAACUGUAUUGCAUAUCCAUCCGGGAAUAGUCAAAGUUCAUCUGAGUUGUCAAAAUAUACUUUUGGAAAGUAAUUGUUGAAUCGCAGUGUAAUAGAGCUAAUUAUUUAUCAUCUCUGAGUGCUAUUCCUAACAAAGUUUAGCUUCAUAGAUAUGUACAGUAUUAUAUUUUCAUUUCUCCAUUUAUUAUUUAUUCAGUUAGUUAUUUUUUUACCUAUGUGUACCUAAGUGCUUGUCUAAGCAUGUGUGAAGGCAGGGGUCCAUGUCAGUAAGAAGGCAUCAUAUUCCCCCAAACCUGAGAACCAAUUAUAGUGGUUGUGGUCACUAUGUAGGGGCUGGGAACGAUCCUGAGUCCUCUGCAAGAGAAGUAAAUGCUGGUCAACCUUGGAGCAUCUCUGUAACCCCUAUUUAUAGUAGAGGUAAUGAUUGGGUCUGAAUUUCUGACAAUCAAAGAGUAAUAUCUUGCUGUAAAUACUUUCAAUUUUUUUUCCUGCAACGUUGUUCUGAAUGUUUAUCAGACACUUAGACAUCAGAAGUUUAGACCUACACACUAGAGAUCAAAGGUCAUUUAAAACUAGUUCUAGUUCUUUUUAAAGAUAACUAGAAAGAUAACGAACUUUACUACUAUUAUUGAAGGAAUCGUUUUGACAAGAAAUAACAACAGAGAAAUUAAAAAUUAUGUAACAGACACGUACCAUGCCUAAGGUUUGUUUCUCUGGUGUAUACAAUGUACAGAAAAAAACUGGACAAAGCACUUUGAAGUGAACCUUACUGAGCUAUAAGAAGGGACAUUAGGCUUUCGUCGCUGUGAUAAAAUACCUGAGCAAGAAGAGGUGGUUAUGCAUGGCCGACUCUGAAAAUUCAGCCCAGGGUCUGUUGCUGUGUUGCAACUAGGCUGUGGCUAGGCAAAAGCAUCCUGGAUAAAGGACAUGCAGUAUAAAAAUUGCCACUGCAUAUCAAUCAGCGUGAUACUACUACACAACACAGGACAUGACUUGGGAGGGGGGCGAGAGAGGAGAAGAUGGAGAGGGAGGCGGAGGGAGAACACAGAUAUAAAAUAAUCCCUUCAAAGGAAUACCCCUUUAACUGGCUUCCUCUAACCCAUCACUUCCUAAUAGUCUGUGUCAUCAUCAAUGGAUUAAUACGCUGAGGAGUAAUGUCACUAGGUAAGGAGCAGUCCUUCACCAUAGGGGCGUUGUGAAAGAGCAUUCCAUAUCAAAACCAUAACCGAAACAGACAUGUUGGAAGAUGCCUCUCAUUGAUCUAGUAAUUGACAAUUAUGCCCUAGUUGAAAGGAUUCUGUGAAUCACUUAUCACAAACUUAAACAAAAUACAGAGGUUUUGGUUCCAAGUUAUACUUAUUUCUCACUCUUCGACAUUUGAAGAAGAAAGUCUACUCAACACACAUUUUUCAACACCACCUACCUAACCACAUUAUAAUUCUUAACAAUGAUAAAAUUGAUUUCUUGGAUGAGAUUUAGGGUUCUAGUGGCUGCUGUUUAUUUAUUCAUGUCUACCUUUUCAUUUAAUUUAAUUUCAGUGCUUUCUACAAUACGAGAUUUUUUUCCAUUAAACAAUUACUGCUAAUAUAUUGACUUGUAUACCAACUAAUAUAACUUAUAAUAUUAAUAUGAGAAAA